rnacentral:lncRNA from 1 species
GAUUAGUGAGUUCUCUAGAGUAUACCCCUUACAAUCCAUAUAAUCAUAUAAUCCAUAUUAGCUAUAAAAGCUACAUAAACCACAAAAGCCAUGCAUACACAUAUAAGGAUGUCGUUGGCUCCUCCUAGGGUCUUACUCCAAGAUGUCAUGGACUCCCCACACGGUCUUGCACCUAAGUGNGCCAAGGGCUCCCUCACAUGGUCUUUACCUAGAAAGCCAUGGGCUCUUCCGCAUAGUCUUACAUCCAAGUGUCACGGGCUCCCCCAUGGUCUUCCCUGCAAGUAUCACAUUUAUAACUAGCAUACCACUUAGCAUAUGACUAACUAACAUACCACAUAUCACUACAUCAACUAGUGUACCACAUAUCAAAAGAAUGGGCUGACCUUAGUGCCUUCGACCCAUUGGUAUGUUGAGUAGACUCACCUCUUGAGAAUUUUGAACUUAUAUGAUAAGAUCAGAUAAGUCUCAACGUACAGAUCGAACUCAACUGCCUAUAACCAUCAUGUGAUUAACUUGUCAAAAUCUCGAAAUACCAUAAAUACCCUCAAAGUCAACCAUGGUUACAGUCAAGGUCAAUAGUCCAUGUCAACCCCAACUCGUCGAGUGCAUCUAGCAACUCGUCGAGUUCCUUCAGAGUCCAUAAAACUGAAAUUCCGAGUCGACUCGCCGAGUUACCCGAGUAACUCGUCAAGUUCUUCAAUGUCCAAGGGCCGAAAACUCUAAACCGAAAUAUCUAGAACGAAACCCUUAAUCAGCUCACCGAGAUCACCAAAGAUCCCGAAAACUAGUGAACCUUAACCGAAUCGUCGAGUUGGCUAAGCAACUCGUCGAGUCCCUUCAGUCCUUUUCAUUUUCAAUCCUUUCCAGGGUUUCUCUAGGCUGUAAGGACGAUGAUAGAGGCUGCAAUGAGCCAUAAGUUCUUUAAAUAUGAUACAAAUCCCAGAAAAUUAGGGUUUCUCCUUACAGCGUCUACUCGUCGAGUUUAGCCUUCCAACUCGUCGAGUAGAUCCUAAGUCUCGCGUCCAAAAAAAUGAUUACUCGACGAGUUGGAGCUCCCCAGCUCGUCGAGUUCCAGUUUAAAACCCUAAAAUAACUUACAAAAAUCAAAUGAUACAUGGAACAGGCGUUACAGUUUUAUUGAUUUUUAUUUGUAAGAUAAUAUUAAUAAAAUAUUAUUCAUAGUUAACAAACAAUUGUAAAUAUAUAUAUAUAUAUAUAUAUAUAUAUAUAUAUAUAUAUAUAUAUAUAUAUAUAUAUAUAUAUAUUUUAUGUGAAGANAUGGAAUGUGAAGAAAUGAUGCGACAAUCUAUUGAACUCUAUGCAGUUUAAGGCAUUGUGUAUGUAUAUAUGUAUAUAUAAGUGUGUAUUUGUGUGUGUGUGUGUAUAUAUAUAUAUAUAUAUAUAUAUAUAUAUAUAUAUAUAUUUAUAUUACUCGUACUUUUGUAUAUUUAGGUAUACAUCUACAUGCUUUUUUAACUAACCUCCAUAUAAUUAGAGUUAAUGGCAGUUAUAUAUUUUGUAUCCAUUAUAAUCGUGUGACCUAAUAUCACAGUUUUUAAUAUUAUUUAUAAAAUUGUUUCUGGGGUAAAUUGUAUUAUCCUUAUGUUUGGUGGUGGUGGAGGAUGGUGGUGGUGACGGGUGGUGGUUUUUGUAGGUGUAGGUGGGGGUGCUGGGCAUGGGUGGUGGAGGCGAGGUGGUGAUGAUGGUGUGUGGUGAUGGGCAGUGGUGGUGGUAGGUGGUUGCAAGUAGUGGUGAUAGUGAUGGGUGGUGGUUUAGGUGGGUGGUUGCGAGUGGAAUAGAAUCAAAUGUCAUGGUUUGGGGGUCUACGAUGUUACAAUAGGGUAACAUGUACCAUAUAAUCACACAAAUUUCAGCAGAAGGGCAUUUUAGUCAAUUAACCUAUAUUAAAAAAGGAAAUUUUCAGAAUUUUAAGGAUAAUUAAUUCCUUUAUUUUUAAAAAUCUGAAUAUUUUAAAUUAAUUCAAAUUUAAAAAUCCGAUUUUAUUUUGUCAGAAUGACAUAAUGCCAACCAUAAACUAGUAAAUAUAUUUUCGAUUUUAUUCUUGCAGAAUAUAUUUCCAAUGCAAGUAUUUUUGAUAAUUAACCCGAUUUAAGAAUUCUAGAUUAUUAUUCAUGUACAUUCAAGUUGGGUCUAUGAUUUUAUUCUUAAUACACAUCCGAAAUAAAAUACAACUUCAUACAUAUUCUUACAAACUAAUAUCCUUAUACAUUUUAAUAUAUUUAUACAUAUUCUAACAGAAUAUCAUCAAAAAUGAAUAAAAUUCUUAAAAAAUAGCAUUCUUGAAUAUACAAUUAUUGAACAAAUACACUCCAUCUUCAUUAGUGGUCCAUAUAAUCCACUUGAUCUUCACAUAUAUACUUGUUGUUGAACUCGAUUCUAAAUAUUUCUCUUGUAUGAUCAAUAUUGAAUUCAUUCUCCAUUCAAUUCUUAAAGAAUAAGAUACAUUACUCGUUAGUAUUACCAGUUAAACAAAAAUAAUUGUUGUUAACAAACAUUCUCGAAAGACAUUCUAACAGAAUGCAUAUNCCAGUCAAUUGGUUGAUAUUGUAACAAAAAUAUAAAUGUAAUGAUAUAAUUGAGAAAAAAAACUUGAUGUCAAAAUCGAAAUUUUGUGGUAAUAUAAUGACUUUCUUGCAAUUUAAAACUCAAUGUAAAAAUUAAAAUUUUGGUAAACAAAGUGACUUUAUUGCAAUUUGGAAAAAAUUGUUAUCGGGAGAACAGGAAGAAUCGGUCAUUUGGUUGACAUUGCAACGAAAUUGUAAAUAUAGUCAUAUAAUUGAGAAAAAAAAAUAGAGUGUCAAAAUAAAAAUUUUAUAGUAAUAUAGUGACUUUCAUGCAAUUUACAAUAAUAAUUUUAAUAAAAUACAUAGAGUUAACAAUGUUAUUUAUCAUAUACAUACUUUUUUCUUUUCUAAGAAUUAUUUUUUUAAGAAUAAAUUACAUGAAUAGUCCUUGUUGUUUAGUCCAUUAUAUAUAGGGAAAUCUUCAGAAAAGUCCCAAUAUUUACAGAAAAGUUACACUUUAGUCCCAAGAUUUUUUUUUUUGAACAAAAAAGUCCUGAAAACCGGCAAAAAAUUUCAGUUUGACCCUUUUUGACUGGUUGAAACCGGUACCAAAUUAAUUUGGGACUAUUUCGUAAACUAAUCCAAAAUAUUGUGACUUUUAUGUAAACAAAAAAUAUUAUGACUUUUCUGUAAACAAAAAUAUUAGGACUUUUCUACAAAGCAUGUAUUAGUAGCAACACAUGUUUUAUACAUGCUUUGUAGAAAAGUCCUAAUAUUUAUACAUGUUUUAGAAUGUCUAUCCAAAAUAUUGGGACUUUUAUUUAUUCUGUCAGAAUUAGUAGCAACACAUGUUUUAUAUAAUAUUUAUAUUCUCAUAGAAUGAACAUGUAUUUGCAUUCUAAUAUGAAAAAAAAAUCCCCAACUUAACCUUUUUCAUGCAAAUUCUGACAGAAUGUCAGCUUAACCCUUUUCAUCAAAGACUAAUGACAUUUACCACUACAGUUAGAGCAAUUCUUAAACAGUGCAAUUGACACAUUCUUUUUUGAACAAUAUAACCAAGUUCUUAAAGAAUGGUGAACAAGAUUUUUUUACAAGUUGGAUUAUUCUAUUUUGAAAGUAAACAUUCAAAACACAUAAUAAUACAUGUUUCCACUGAUAUUGUUGAUAUUUCCAACAAAACAAAUUCUAAAGUACCAAAUUCAAAAGAACUACUGACAUUAAAAAAACAUCAUUGUUCAUAUUAAUAAGAACACCAUACCAGGAUAGAGAUAUCGGGAUAGAGUAUUUACAUGAAGAAGGUCAUAUGAGGAGAGGGGAUUUAUCUUAAGAAAUGACAUGUUAUGUACUCUUAUAGAUAUAAUAUGUUUCUUUAUUCAAAAACUAAAAAAGAAGAGUUCAUUAAGGCAUUUCAUUGAACGGUGUAUGAGCAUACAAAACAUAAAAAUUUAGUAAGAACAAAAAUUAUCGUUGUUUUUUCUAACUUUGAAAUUUCAGGGGGACUUUGCCCUACAUUGAAUUCAAAGUUUUCCACUAAAACAAGUUGGAAUAUAACAUCAUCAAAAAUUCAAAAGAAAUUAUGUAAAUAAAUACUAAUAAGGAUUAAAGGAAAUAUGCAAAUGAGUUCACAGUUGUCGACUAGCAAAUGGAUUCAACUUUUUACCUAAGAAAAAUGGUUGCUUUUAAAGGAUUUUUCAACACCACAUUAAGUCAUCGACAAAUGCAACAAAAAAAAUUCGGUUACGCAUCAUAACAAGAGAAUAGAGAUCAGAUAGAGAGAAGAGAGACAUUUACCUGAGUUGGAGGCGUCAUCGGGAGACAUUGGCGGUGAUGGGAAGCGUGGGCGUCCAUACCAUGCAGGUGUCGAUUGGAGAAAGGAUGCAAAGAGGAAAACACGCCCUAGGUUAAAUUAAACAUUGUGGUUGUUAUCCCUUGAAAUUGGAGGAUUCAAGUUGGUUUAAGUGUUCACUCAAUUUAAGUAAGUUGAUCUCGGGGAUGACCUAAUUUGCCAAUAGUGGGAUUAAAUUGAAAUUAGGGAUGGGAGGAGAGGAAAUCGGCUUACUGUUCACAACAUCGACAUCCUUCCCCCUUGGGCUGCAACGCCAUAAUCGUUGGUGAAUGGGACCAACUCCGAUACUGCUUCUCCCUCAUGCAUCAUCUACUUUGCUUCUCCCGUUCCUUUUAGACUUUUCGGUUCUCGGCUUCAAUUUCACGAGCCCAUUUCUAGACUUCAAUUACAGAGGUGGUGCAAGAAUGCAAGAUGAAACUGAUGGUCAGCUGGUAGAGGAGCAGCAAUGAAGUUGUCGAUUGAGGUAAGGCUACAAAAUUUUGAGGUCAAUCGUUUGAAGAUAAAGUGAGGAGAAAACUAGGUUUUAGGAAGUUAAUGAAUUACCAUAAUUAAAUAUGCAAAGAUUACUAUAAUACCCUUACAUGAUUUAUUUAAUGUUUUAUUAUUUUCUUAAUUCUUAUUGGUGCAUACAUGCAUACAAUAGUUGAUAGAACAAAUUUGAACAUAUCUCGCUUUCUCUCUCUCUCUGUCUCUCUCUCUCUCUCUCUCUCUCUCUCUCUCUCUCUCUAUNAGGGGCAAAAUAAAAAUAAGUGAUUUUGAUGGGGCUUAACUCUUGAGCGUCAGUCAAAAACAAUCAUAAGACGCAUUUAAGUGAUAAUAAUAUUAUUUUAUUGAUUUUAAAGUAAUACACCAACUGAUUUGUGUAUAUAAGAAUAUUCAAUUAAGAAGAAAUAAUGAAUGAUAAAGAGAAAAUACACUGAAAACAAUAGAACAUUUUUAUUACAUACCAAAUAUAUAAUGAUCAAAGGGGUAUGGUCAUUAAAAAUGGGGUAUGUAUAAUAGUCUCCAACAUAGAAAUAGUAUAGCCUAGUUUUAAAGCUUAACAAAAUCAUUAUGUUUCCCCUGUUAGGAGUAGGGAUGAGCAUCGGAACCGGAUACCCGCUUUUGGAACCGGAACCGCCUCGGAACUGCCAGUUUUGGAACUGGAACCGCCUUAAGCGGUUCCGGUUCCNNNNNNNNNNNNNNNNNNNNNNNNNNNNNNNNNNNNNNNNNNNNNNNNNNNNNNNNNNNNNNNNNNNNNNNNNNNNNNNNNNNNNNNNNNNNNNNNNNNNNNNNNNNNNNNNNNNNNNNNNNNNNNNNNNNNNNNNNNNNNNNNNNNNNNNNNNNNNNNNNNNNNNNNNNNNNNNNNNNNNNNNNNNNNNNNNNNNNNNNNNNNNNNNNNNNNNNNNNNNNNNNNNNNNNNNNNNNNNNNNNNNNNNNNNNNNNNNNNNNNNNNNNNNNNNNNNNNNNNNNNNNNNNNNNNNNNNNNNNNNNNNNNNNNNNNNNNNNNNNNNNNNNNNNNNNNNNNNNNGGUUCCGGUUCCGGUUCUAACUUUCUAAGAACCGCCGGUUCCGGUUCCGGUUCCGGUUCUUGCCAAAUGAGACGGAUACCCGCCUAUGCUCAUCCCUAGUUAGGAGAAGAGAAUAUAAUAAUCAAAUCAAGAAUUAGACGAACAUAAUCACUUUUAGUUAGACGUAUAGUCAAAGACAUGGUCUACAUAACACGUUUUUUAUUCAAGGUGGCCAUUAAUCAACUAUUAAUGUUGAAAGAUAUUUAAGACUCAUACUAUUAGCCCUUAAACAAAUAUAAUGAGAUACCUACAAAUAAUUAGGUAUAACUAUUAGCAUAGCCAAUGCAAUCCAAUAUAAUAGUAAUAAUAAAUUAAAUAACCUCUCUCUCUCUCUUCUCACCUGGGUGAGAAUGGCAGUGCAAUUGCUACUAUCAGAAAAUCAAGACAUAAAGAUAAACUAUGCACUAACUAAAAUAAAAGUUUCAAAAAUAAAAUAAGUAAUCUUAAAAAUAUUACGUAUCAAACAUGAUAAGUUUCUUAAGGAAAAGCUAUAUCCGAUAAAAUAGUUUUCAACCCCAGACCUAAGUUGAAAACCCAUGUAAAAUCAAAAUCAAUGGCAUGUUUACACAUUCUAAAAGUAAAAAACACUCAAAAUAUGACUUACCAAGUACAUAAGUGAACUAUCCUAAACACCAACUUCAGUUUUCAAGGUCCUUUAAUCAUUCUAUGAAUAUAAUUUUUAGGUAAUUGAAUAAAAUGUCAAACAAAUUAAAAUGCAACUUAACUUAAUUUGUUGUUGGUUGUUGAAAAAAGAAAAGUUCAUCUUGAAAAUCAGAAAUCAGCUUCCUUAUUCAGCCCUAUAAUAAGCAUCAUUCAUCCAGAAAUCAUAAUUAACCAAAAACUUAUACUGUUAAAACAGAAAAUUCAGAAAUCAGAAAUAAGCAAAACAGCAAAAACUUACACAGUAACAUUCUUGAUUCAGCCGGUUAACUUAUCCAGAUUGAGAUGCCAUGAUUGAGAUUUGAGACUAACUUAUAAGAGCGUUGAUAUCCACGAUUGAGAUGCCAAAAACUUUUAUUAUUGCUUUUAUGAACGGUUUAAACAGUUUUGAGGAGAAUAUCUUCUGGUAAAUAAGAUAUGUGUCAUUCUUAAGGCCAAUAACAUGAAGUAAGUUAUAAAAGAGAAAUAUGCUAAGCCUUCAUCGAUUGAGAUGCUUGAAACUUUUAUCUCAUUCCUAUUUGAGUAACAAAAUAUAUUAUUUCGAUGUUUUGAAUCUUUUGAAACAUUAAAGCAAUGACAUGCACACUACGAUGCCCCUCAUGACAACGAUUGUAUGCAUAACCCCAAAAUAGUCAAUGUAGUUUUUGAGGAGAAGAAAGACACCACUACACCAGGAUAUCCUAUAAAUUGCAUAACAAAGAACACAAGCGAUUAGUUAAUCAUUAAAAUUGGGACAAAAACUAAAUUAAGGGUAAAAUAGUCCAAAAGCCUAAUUCCAAACAGAGUGAGAGAUAGAGAACGACAUCAGACGUAUUCCAUGUGAAAAUAUAUUUCUUUGAGGCAUUGCGAACAACAUUUAUGCAUUAUAACAUCAGCAAAUUUUGAAUACAUAAACUGAGUAAAUAAAAUAUAAUUAGAUGGGUUAAAGUAAAAAUCAAUCAGUAAAGCAAAAUGUUUUUGCUAACCUUACAAAGAUGGUAUCGUAUUCGACAGUGAUGAUGCAAAUGUGAGGAUUGUACUUAUACAUAAUUUGCAAAAACAAUUUUGGAAAUGAUAUCAUUAAAUCAAUAUUGUGAUCGAUAUCUUAUUAUUUUGAAUUCAUUGAUUUGAAAUUCUUAUGAAAUCUUAUACAAUAUUAGCUGUGAAUCAAUCAAAUCAAAAUAAUUUAUAAAACGUAAAUUAGAUGAAAAAAGGAACGAGUGAUAGUUUUGUUUGAUAAUUAUGCUAAUGUUUAUUUGAAUCGAAUAUAUUUCAUUUAAAAAGUUACGUGAGUUACUCAACUUUUGAAUUCCAGUCAACUUAAAUUAUUUUUAUAUUAACUAGAAAGUGCAAAAGUUUUAAUUAUUUUUAUAUUAACUAGAAAGACUAAACUGCACAAAUGGUUCCUGUGGUUUACUGAAAAUUGCCACUUUGGUCCAAAAAGGUUUGGACUAGCACCAGAAGGCCAAAGUUUUCAUUUUAUUGCUUGUUUGGUCCAAUUAGUUAUGAUUUUUCUCAAAAUGACGGAUUUGCCCCUGUUAAUAUGAUUUUCUUUUUUUUCUUAUUUGUUUUUCUGAUUUUCAGAUUUAAAAAAAUAAAAAAUAAAAAUAAAUCUCUCUCUCUCUCUCUCUCUCUCUCUCUCUCUCUCUCCCUCUCUCUCUCUCUCUCACCAUUCAUCACCUUCACCAAACUUCAACUUCAACCUCACCUGAACCUUUCAUCAUCUAUUACCACCCAACGCACUCUUCUCUGUCUCCAUUCCCAGCACCGUGACCACCAUUCCACCUUAUACUACCACCAGACACAACCCAAAAACCUAAUUUAUCUAUCACAGCUGACACUACCCACCAUUAGCUACCACUGACCAUAUAACCCAUCAUUUUCUCCAUCAGAUCAUCACACCACCAUUAAAAUACCAUCGACUGUAAUCAACACAUAAUGACAUCCAAACCACCAACAAGGCCAGAUCUGCCAAAAAAUAUGAAAAAGAAAUUAACCAGCAGAUCUGUUCGUCACCUUAUUUCUCUUUUUCUCAUCGGAUCUGGAAAGACAAAGGUAAGGGGGUCGUUCAACACAUACCAGCAGUAGGUUUUGGUGAUGAAGAUAACAGAGCUAGGGUUUUCGGUGGAUGAUAACGGCGCUGAAACAAAAAUAACCGAUUAGGGUUUUCUGAAAACCCUAACUCGUCGCCGCCCUUCGUCUUCUCUGGAACGUCGUCACUAAAUCGCUAGGGUUUGCUGAUGAAGAAAGCGGAGAAAGAUGGAGAUAGACGAGGCUUACCGGAAGAACGAUGUUUUACAGAUCUAGAGCUUCGUCGAGUUGCAGCGGAGUUUUUCAAAUCGCCGGAAAAAUGAAUUUUUACAAAAAUAGAAGAUGGCGACGAGAUCGAAGUAAGGGUUUACAGAUGGAUGGUGGGUGGUGGAGACGAUAGGGGAUAAAGGCGGUGGUGGUUGAUGGCGAUGACGGGUGGUGGAGUCGACGACGAGGGGUUUCUUGAGAACCAGGAAGAACAAAUAAGAGAAGGAAGGAGAAAUAGUGUGGAGAGAGAGAGAGAGAGAGAGAGAGAGAGGGAGAGAGAGAGAGAGAGAGAGAAAGAGAGAUUUAUUUGUAUUUACUUUUAUUUUUUAUUUUUUUAAAUAUGAAAAUCAGAAAAAUCAAUUAAAAAAGGAGAAAAUAAUAUUAAUAGGGGCAAAUCCGUCAUUUUGAGAAAAAUCAUAAUAGAUUGGACUAAACAAGCAACAAAAUGAAAACUUUGGACCUCUAGUGCUAGUCCAAACUUUUUUGGACCAAAGUGGCAAUUUUAAGCAAACCACAUGGACCAUUUGUGCGGUUUAGUCAACUAGAAAUUGCAAAACUUUUCAAUAUUGUUUCCGAAUCGAUAAAUAUGAUAGACUUAAAAAGUGCAAUGAUGAAAAGUACGGACUUUGCCCCGGAUCGUUUUUUUCAUGUUUUUAUGAAAAAAAUGUAAAAAUUUUGACUGCAAAGAUCAGAAGUUUCAAAACGGUUAAAGAAUUAAAGGGGUAGAAAUUAACAAAUUUUUAGAAAAUUGAUCAAAGUUGUCAAACCGUUAAAGUUUUGAGGCCAAACUUUAAAUAUUAAAAUUUAAAAAGUUCCUAAAAAGUAUAAAAAUAUUGAUUGCAAUGACCAAAAAUGUCAAAAAUAGGUAGAGAAUGAUGAGAAAAAUGCGUAGAAAAUUUCUGCCAAAAAAAUGUCAAGUUUACUAUUUCUAAACUUCAUAUCUUUAAAAAAAAUUUAAAAAAAAAAAUAAUAAAAAAAAAUAAAAAAAUCAGAAUUUGCCGAAUGAAUUAAAAAGAAAAUAGAAAAAACAAAACAAAAAAAAAAAAAAAAAAAAAAAAAAAAAAAAAUACAUGUCUCAUAUUUAAUAAGAAGACAACAAACGCUCAAAUUAUUUUUGUUUAUUAAGGUAAGAUUUAUUUCGCGCAGUCCGACAAUACUUCAAUGAAAAUUACAUAAUCAUCAUACCAUAUAACACAACUAAGUGUAUUAAUUAAUUUAUUCCAAGUUUUUUCUGCAACUCCAAGCCAAACUCGUAAACCUUGUGAGGAUCAGGAAGAGUCUUGGAAACACUCUCUCUUUCCAUGCACCUUUUAGCCCAUGCAACCAGCUUUGGACACUCUUUCUCUAUACUUAUAUUCCCAAACUUCUCCCAAGCAUAAAACCAGCAGUAGAAAGGCACCAGUGCAAUAUCCACAUACCCGAAGCUCUCCCCCAUAAAAUAUGGCUUCUCCCCAAGCUGCCCUUCCAACACCUUCAUGCAAUCCAUGAAUUCCUUCUUCGCUUUUUCUUGCUCUUCUCCUAAUUUUGUACUCCAUAUCUUCCUCCCAGCAUCAUAUAUCUAUAGGUUUUUUAGUUCAAAAAAAAGCUAUGUACGUAUCAGAAUUUCAGAAAGAAAAGAAAAUUGGAGAUGUUUAAGUAGAGGCAUGAAUAAAGGUACCUUCUUAUCGAUGUAGUCAGCCCAGAACCUAGCCUGAGCUCUGAGAUAAGGAUCAGAGGGCAACAAUGGUGGAGACUUGUUCUGCCAUGUCUCAUCGAUGUACUGAACAAUGAUGUUGGAUUCACAGAUGGGUUUUCCAUGGUGGAUGAGAACAGGGAUUUUCUUGUGAACCGGGUUCAUCUGAAGGAGCAAUGGGCUUUUGUUGAUCAAGUCUUCUUCUCUGCGCUCAUAGUGGACACCCUUUUCCAUAAAAGCAAUUCUGACCCGCAUACCAAACACGCUAACCCAGGUGUCUAACAGCACAACCUCGGAACCCGCCAUUUCAAGAACUAAAAGAAAAGAAAACAGUGGAACAAUAGGCUUGUAUGUGUACGUGUAUGUCUGUGUUGAGGAGGCAGUGAUCUGUGAAUUGAGGUCGUGGUAGUAGUGCGUAUUUAUAGAGUGGGGAAUAUAAAAAGGUCGUAUUUGAAAGAAGAUUGAAGAUGGUUCUCAUGGCUUCCACACCAUACAUAGUGAUCUCACCUCUUACGUCACCGGAGUGUGCUAGAAGAACAAAACGGGUAAAGGUAGGUCAAACCGUUUCAAAUAUGACAAAUUUUUCUCACUUAAUCACACAAAUAACCAAAAAUAAGUAUAGCCGAUAAUCAUUCUUUUGACUAUUUAAACAAGAUGGUCACAUAAUCAUUACAUGCUCCGGUAUGUUUUUGGAAUAGUCCUUGUCACAUAAAAGGUUUAAAAGAAAUCCAAUAUUUUUCAAAAAGAAAAUGAAAGAAAAACCCUAUAUUAUUUAAAAUUAAGUUGUCGAUUUAGUUUUUAAAGUUAUUUUGUUGUUUUAUGGGGAUAUAAAGUUGAUUUUGUCGGUCUAAAUGAUCCAUUUGGUCAAAUUGAAGGUACCUCUUUUGAAAUGGAUGAACAAAAAAAACACUCCAACCAAUACUAUGUUCACCUUUGUUCUUCCUCCCAUCGAUUUUCUUCUAAGGUAUUGAACAUAAAUUGAUGAUAGUGAGGUUAAACUCAUGUUUCUUCAUCCUCUAUCAUCUCCAUGAUUCCACGACUCCAACAGUCCAACAUUAACAACUUAUCCAACCAGAAGGGUCCAUCUUCACAUUAAAUAAAUCUAAUGAGUAUUCUACGUUGCUUUUGCUAUCAUUGUAAAAUAAGAAGUCGAUCACUCACAUGUCUAUCUCUUUUUUGUUGGUGAAUUAUUUCAAUAAUUGUAUUUAAGUGUAAUGGGUUGACUUGUUGACCAAAAUCAAUCUUUAUGAAUAUUAAACGAGUAAGAAAGGUGUGGAGUGCACACUUGUUUAAGUUUAUUCAAGAUUCAAAGUAGACAAUCAUUUAGGGGCGCAGCCCCUAAAUGAAUAAGGGUCCGGGGGCAGCACCCCUAGGAGAAGAGUUAAGGGGUCGAAAUCCGAAUUAUUGAAAAUGAACCUGGUUUUUUACUUUGUUUUGACUCUUAUUAAAAUGCUCGUUUUUGUGACGGUUUAUGACUAUUGGAGAUGGUUUCGGACAGUUUUGAGACAGAAAAUUGUUUUGUGACAGUUUUUAGACAAAGAUGAUAUAUAACCAAUUUUGGUCAUAAUAUUGGUAAUUACGAAUUUCAUAACAAUCCACUUCUCUAUUCUAUUUUUCUCUUCUGAGUCUUAUACAAUUAAAGAUUAAGGAGUAUCAACCAAACACUUCAAUUUGAAAGUGACAAUCACGAUUCUCAUAAUUCCAAGUGCUAUUAUACCCCAAAUUUUUAACAUUUGUUACAUCUGGAUCUUCCUCCCACACCUAUAUACAAAUGGAUGGUUGGUUGAUCACGUUCUUUCUUUUGGUUUCUGUGAGUUAUAAGGGGUAAUGAAUGAAAACAUUGUUCUUAUUUCAGGUUUGAAGAAGAUUCAUACUUGUACUGUGACAUCCCUAUUUUCAUGGUCAGAAAGACUGAUUUGUUUAUGCUCAUUUAAACAUCAGAGUAUUCUUUUUGAAGAAUAAUAUUGCGGAAUUUGUUUCCAGAAAACUUGAUAAUUAUAGUAUCAAAUCAUUUCCGAAGAAAUAUAUUUUAUUUAUGCUAAAACAUUGAGAUGUCAUCGUCAAUACAAAAACAUAAGCAUAACGAAAUAUUACAAACCUUACAGUAAUUAAACUAGUGGCCUAAUACUCCUUGAAUCUCUCAGCAUUAUGUAUCUUUCAUAUAGCCACCUGUGAUACAAUAAACUGAGUGGGUCAUAUUGGGAAAACCUGGUGAGUACAUAGGGAUUUCAAUCCCACAAUGUGAUAAUAGUGUAUAUCUCAAACCUGCAAAUCCAACUAUUAUCAUUAACAUAGAUAUAUCAUAUCUCUAAAAAAAAAUUUAUCCCAUCCCAUCGAUUCCCACAUACAGAUCCUAUACAACGAUCUGACAAGAUCUAGCCUAAAGGAUCAAUAUCAGCAACAAACCGACGACGUUGUUUCGGAAAUUCCCGACAGAAAACGAGGAUCAAUAAAUACAUUAAAUGAGGGGAAUGGAAUAAGUUUCACCACGAACCUCCGUUCGUAAAAACAACAAGAUAAUUAAGUCAGUGGUGGUUAUCUAGAUAACUGUUCCUAGUUGUGGUCUAAAACCGUGAGGUAUUUUACCCCUAGACUCACCAUAUCCGGCAAUACAACAUCACAUAUACCUAGUAGUGGUCUAUUACUGACACACUCUAUUAGGCAGUCUACAAAGAUCCCUCAAUUACUUCGUGAAAGGAAUCACUGACACACAAAGCUUAACAAAAGAAAAAGUAUGGGGAAAUGCUAAUAAAUUACUCUCGUACGUUCCUGUACUCCAACACAUAAUAGUUUCAAAAGGACUUUGUACAUGAUAGUACUUCUGGCACAUUAUAGUAACCUGAUAUGAAUAGGAUUCAUACCCCGGAACAUAAUAAUACCCCGACACAAGCAGCAACUGAGAUACAGAGCUUUGGAAAACACUUUGUGCAUAGAAAGUACUAUUGUACGUACGACAUACUCCAUUGAUCAUCGAUCUCCUCGAACAGAGUUUAUACUCUCUACUCCGAUCACACACGUACCCUUAAUAAGAUACUACCCAAUAUCCAAACUUAAAUGAACUAAGCAUCUCUUUUAAGUCUUAUUUCAUCACUAGGCUAGACUCAAUGCUUAUAAUCAACUUUCAAUACUAACUCUGUUUUGGAAACACUAUCCUAAUUUAGUGUAAUAUUUUAUACAGAGUAUUAAGUAUUAACAUACAUUUAUCUUCUCAUUUAUAAUACUUCUAUUAUUAUUAUCAUGUAAAUACAUCUUAACAUAUAUAGAACCAUGUCUGGUUUGCAUAGCAUAUAUCUCAAAUAUACAUAUAACACAUAUUUCCAAAUAAUAAGCAUAUAACUCACAUAUAAACUUUCAACAUAUAUUUAAUACCUGUAUUAAAAUCAUCUUCAUAAAAUGGAUAAUUCACUUACUUGUUAAAGUGACGACUUGAAAUUUGGGCAACGCCUCGCUUCUAGCAACUGUUGUUUCCUUUGACGUAACCUAGCAUUGUUAUCGCUAAGUUUUAGUCUAAUAUUUAUUGUGACUAAUUAUUAGUCUAGAUUCAUCAUUAACUCAAAGUCUACUUCAAGAUCUAUCAAGUAAGGAACAACCAAGUAGGACCAUAUCAGAGAUAGGGUCUGUUUGGUAUAUGAAGUAUACUGUUUGAAAAUCCUACCUUAAACACCUCACUAAAUCACAGCCUAGACAUUAUCCCCACAAGUAGAUCAGCGAGGAACUGAACUCUGCAUGGGCAAAACUUCUGAGUCGAAAGCUCUUCUUCUCGGAGCCUUUUGUCACUUCGGGACUUUCUUCUAACACCUAGGAGGUGCUAGUGAAAAACUUAGAGGGUUUGGGGUUGUUUGGGAGACAAAGGUUGAGAAAGGUGUGAGAAAAAUAAGUGAAAACGAGCUCUAUUUAUAGGCUGAGAUUUCGAGUUACGCUGGGCGUAAUUUAGAUGUAUUUGGGGCGUACUAUUGUAUGAUGGGUGUACGCAUGCCACGUGUGUAAAAUUCCGUUUGAAAUUAAAUUAAAUAAGUAAAUAAAUAAUAAACCCUUAACCCCGAGAUGUAAAUCAUAUUAUUAUUAUUGUAACCCAAAACCCUUAAUAAUUUUGCAGGGCGUUGAGUUCGGGAGUUAAAUGUCAUAAUUUUUGGAAUUUUGGGGGUUAAGUGUAAUUUUUGGAGUGAUAUUGUAAAGAUUUCUGAAGGCACGGGUGUUUAGUAAGUUUGGGAGUUAAUUUGAAAAAGAUCUUGUAGAGAGGGACUAAAAAUUGGAAUAUGAAUAAAUGUUUGAAAGGAACACAGGAAUUAAACACGGUACCCUACCCCCCCCCCCUCAUUCCUUAAUGCAAACCCUAAACCUAAAUCCUUCAUACAUCCGCCACCUUAUUCCUUCCCUCCAGCCGCCACCACCCCCUCCGCUGUCAAUGUCACGAACCACCAAGCCAAUGUCACCGCAGUUUCUGCCAACGAAGCUAGUGACUGAUGAAGGCCGAUGUCAUGACUAUGUUGUUGUCAUUCUCGGAAGCGCGUCCUACCUUCUCUUGUUUCGUCGUCAUUCAUGUCACCCGUACCGCCAAUGAGUUACGUCGUCGCAGCUAACGUCGACCGUUAGCGCUGUUGUUGCCUGUCGUUUCCUGUCGCUGCCAUUUUUCACUCUUCUGGCCGUCAUACGCCACCAGGUGGGUGGUUGUGUUCAUAUUUCGAGCAAUGACGUGUGUGUAUGCGUCUGUUGCUAGUGUGCAUGUCGUGUGUAUGUGUGUUUUGUUUGGCCGAAUAUCAUAAGAAACCCACCAGCAUAAGAUGGUGGUUGUCAUCUCCGACCACCGCUUAUCUACGUGAUGGUGGCUGUGGGUGUGUUUGUGUAGAGUUAUUUCGUGUUGUGAGAUGUGUAUGUGUGGGUUCUUUGGCCAGAAAUCGUCGAAAAACCACCAUGGCAGCCAACCAUUGUGGCUGUCACCUUGCUACCGCCACCAGCCGCCGUGUUGGGUUAUUGUAUGCAUGAGUUAAUGUUUGUGUGUGUGUGUGUGCUUUUUCGGUAUAAAUAAUGUAUUGGGUUUUUGUUGCCGGAUUUUUUACUCGAAAAUCACCACCAACUCCGCGAGGUGGUAGCUUCCGUCAUCGACCACCACCUCCCGAGGUGGCAGUGGGUGGUGUUCGGCCUAGUGAAACCCUAAUCAGCCUAAAACAUAACCAUUAGACUAAUUGGCAUGUGAUUAGGAUGGAAACCCUAAUUAGGGUUUAGAAAACCCUAAUUUUAGAGAUGUUGGUUUUGGAUUUGUCGAGACCCGCAUUUUGGUCCGUUGGAUUGGAAUUAUGAAUUAAGCCUGACCAUAUUGUAUGAUUGACCUAGUAGAGUGAUGGACUUAAUGGAUUAAGUGAAAACCCUAAUUUUUUUUGGGCUUCGGGUUGGGCCUUUCUUUUAGGCUUAGGUGGUUGGGUUCCUAUUGGGUCAUUUGAGAACAAGCAUAUGGACUAGGAAUAUAAUGGAUGGGCUUUAGAUUAAGGCCCAUGCAAUAGGUUUGGGUCCAAUUUGGAAAAUUGGGCCAUAUGUUAGGCCUUAGUUGAUUGUUUGCCUUUUGGGCCUUCAGAGUGUAAGUUUGGGCCUUGGGCUUGGAUAAUGCUAGGUUGGGGUAAAAUGGUCUUUUUACCCCAAGUAUGGAUUUAUGGUUAUGCAUUGGAACCCAAUUAUUAAUUGGGUGUUGUUUUGAUGUAAACAGUUUAGGGAUCUGUCAGCCAACAGCUAGAUUUUUAUUCGUGGGAAUUCAGCAGUGUGAGGUGAGUUUCCUCACUAGGUUUAGCGAGUCGAAGGCACCAAUGUUGGCUCAUUUUUAUGCUAUGUUAGUUUCCUAGUUGUCUUCAUGACUCUUUCAUAUGUAUGUGUUGAUAUGCUUUUCGGGCUAAGGUCCGAUGUCGGACGGGGCCCGAUGACUGUUUGUAUGUUAUGUAUCUAUGUUACAUGUGUGUUUGUUUAUUUGAUAUAUGUUACAUGCAUGUCGGGCAGGGUUCGAUGACCGGGCAGGGCCCGAUUUACUACCGAGCUCAGCUCGAUGACCGGGUGGGCCCAUUAUAUGUCUCGUUAUGUACGGUAUGUAGUAUCAUGAGGAACUCACUAAGCUUUGUGCUUAUGGUUUUCAAUUUAUGUUUCAAGUACCUCGGUUUUCAAAAGGUAGAGCUCGGGUUGACUGCAUGACACGUACACUUAUUGUUCUGCAUUUGACUUGUUCUAUGAUUUAUACUCUGAUUAUAAUGUAUCAUUUUUCUUUAUUUAAACAAGUAAUUGAUGAUCGUUCUUCUAUAAAACGAAAUUUUAUGUCAAUAUUUUUGUGACGUUUCAAGUUGGUAUCAUAGACUUGGUUUGAGGAAUUCGGGCACACUCUUGGUGUGUGUCUGAACUCAAACUGAUGAUUUGGUAAAGUUUUUUUUCAAAAAUAUAUAUAUCUACUUAAGGAAAGAGUUUUCUAAAAUAAGAAAAGGUUGUGGUGCAUGCAACCAGCCGAUCUCAAGUAGCUUUUCCCAAAUUACCCAUACAUGUUAUCUUUUAUGCUUUGAUUUGUGGAUUUGUGGAAUCGCAUGCUAGUUAGGGCUAAGGAUCUACUUAGUUUUUUCAUGUUAAAUGCUAGGAGAGAUGCCUUUACAUGUCUGUUGUAUGAGCUUGUAGACUUACAUGCUAGUUCUGAUUAGCCAGAGAUAGGAUGGCCUGAUAUAUGAUGCCUAGUAGUCCAGGAAGCAUGGGAUGCUGGGAUGGGUUGGUUUGUAUGCGUGAGGCAAUCAAUAGAGGAAGUGGGAGAUCCUAGUAUGUAUUGUAGUAAGUUGGAUUAGAGUUAUACUGCACAAAUGUUUCUUGCUUUAUGCUUUGUGGAAGUCCUAGGUGAUGGGAAUCAGUUAUUAAGUGAAUAUGUCAAGUCGCAUGUGACAAAGGUUGGAUAAUCUCAGAGUGACAGAUUUGACUCUAUUGCGCAACUCUUGUUUGAUUCCAACCACUUUAGGGAUGAGUCUAUUACUAGAAGGAUUAUCUGAGCUUUGUUGAAUGUGAUUGUAUUCAUGAGGUGGGUGACUGGCAUUAUGGGGAGUUCUUUAGCAACUGAUGGCAGGGUGAGGUCGGGAAUCUAGGGAAGCCUAGGGAUUUCUUCAGUGGAUUUUGUUGUACUGGUUAGCGAGUGUUGAUGUAUGGAUUUGAAAAGGUGACUUAGAGGAUUCAGGAGGAUUCUUGAGGAAAGUAUGGAUAGGUUUGGAAGGCAGUAUUGGGCCCGUACUACUGAAAGCACAGGAUCAAUACUCGAAUCAGAGCUCCGGUUAACUGCAUGGCACGCACACUUAUUGUUCCGCAUUUGACUUGUUCUGUGAUUUAUACUCUAAUUAUAUUGUAUCAUUUUUCUUUAUUUAAACAACUAGUUGAUGAUCCUUCUACUAUAAAACAAAAUUUUAUGUUAAUAUUUUUGGGACGUUUCAACAUGUCGCAAUCUUGUUCCAAGCAGUGGGGAAGAAGUUGUGGGUGAGAUUGUGCCACCUGUCACUCUGGGUUUUUAAUCCAAAACUAAUUAUCUUCUAAAAUCCAUAAAUUUCACAUACAAUUUCACUUUUUGAUGUUCUUUAUAUCCAUGCAUAGGUAGUAACGUGAUCUUUAACUUUCGUUUAGACUCCGUCGGCUAAUUUUGAAUUUGUUUUUAAAGUUAUAUUUUAGCAGGCUCAGACAGUUAAAGUUCGUCAAAAAUUCAUAACUUUGUCAUCCGACGUCCGUUUUCGGACGUCUUUAUAUUGUUCACCUCCUAUUAACGAGAUCUUCGAUUCUCUUUUUGGUUGUGUCAGCUAAAAAUCGAUCGAUCUAAAAUUCGAUUUAUGGGAUGAGUACUGCUACGCUAAUCUUAGAAAAUUCAUAACUUCCUCAAAUGAAGUCAGAUUUGGACGUUAUCUAUAUCUAUGCUCUUGGUUUAACGUAUACUACAACUUUUAUUUAGAUUUCUAAGGCUAAAAAGUAUUUCAUCAAAAAUUCACUUUUUACGUUACGUAGAGUCGUGUUGGUUUAGUCACAAAACUUUGACGGGUCAUAACUUCUUCGUUAUAAGUCAGAUUUCAUUGUUCUUUAUAUGUACGAAAUCCUUGUGACAUAUACUAUAACUUCGGUUUAGAUUAUUUAAUCGAAAUAAUCUUCUAUCAAAAAGUUGUUUUUAACACUUAUUAUCUCUAAACUGACUAGCUGAAUCAACAAAAUAGGAAUUGUAUAAUGUUUCCAUAUGUUAUCUUUUCAUCAUAGGUAAUAACCAUAACUCUUAUGUCUUUUCACUUGAGUAUCUAACUCUUGGACUUCUUGACUACUGACAGUGCUCAAUCUUGCAUCUGCUCUUCGUACUAUGUUAGACUUUCAAUUGCUACUUUCGAGUUACAAGCUCGAUCCUUAUUGGAAGGACCUGCUCCUUCUUAAAUAGACUUAACUUAAGAUAAGUUCUGUAACUUGAUUAUCAUAACAAACUGAUGGGUUAUAUUCUAAUGACCUCAAGUCGUAUGAUGCAAUUCUUAGACUUAUGGUCUUUUGAGUCAAAUUCCAGAAUGGAAUAUACCUUUCUUCAUGUUCUAAUGUGAUACAAUUACAUUCUAGCAUGUAGCACUUCUAGCUACUAGCUUCUUUACUUUAACGGCGCUCGCGAUACUUCUAUUGAUCGCUUUGAUUAUCUUUCACUUCAAUCUUCUGGCUUAAGUCAGAUGUUACAUCGAACUUGGUUCUUCGAACAUGUAACAUACUUAUCUUAGUCGGACUCAAUUUGAUAUGACCACUAGGGUCGCAAUAUCAAUCAUCUUCUUAUUCAUUGCUGAAACGAUGAUAACGACAGACAUGAACAAAACAGAAUCAAUUACUAGUGCCUUGUUAACCUUGUGACUUUCCCUGAUUCAAGUGCGAGUCAUGUACUUCCAGUAGUAUAGGUAUCUACUACCUUUCGCACCUACUCAUACUCAUCCCAAGUAUUUCCUCUCAAUUUAACAAGUCACUAUACAAGAAUUUCACAUAGUCAUUUAACACAUUGGAUAACAUAACUAAGGUUUUAUAUUAUUUCUUGAAAUGAUUACAUAGAUGUUCAAGAUCACCCUACAUUAUGCCUCUUAUAUUAGGCUACACCACAUGAUACUAUCUACAUGGAUACUUUAUAUCUUGAUCUUUGAAUAUAUAGAUCCUUACUCCUGGUCCCUUUCAUCCUCGCUUGCUUGAUUAAGGAUCAUCUGAAAUUCUCUUGCCUUUGGCUUUGGCGAUACGUUUGGCUUGGUAGCUCCUUCCCUCUUUGGGUAGUCUUGCUUGAAGUGUCCUUCUUCACCACACUUAAAUAAAACUUCUCUCUUGGUCAUGCAUUCAUUGGCAUACUGACCAAUCUUCCCAUAUUUUAAGCAGGUCACCUCUUUAGAGCAUCUCCCAAUGUGCUUCCUUCUGCACUUUUCACACCAUUUUUCUUUAUUGCUAUCCGCUUACCUGUUGUUGUUGGGGUUAGACUUCGGGAACGUAUUUUUCUUCUAGGAUCUUAAAGACUCCUCAAACUUCAUCUUCUCGCGAACUUCAACCUUAUUGGUGGUUCUGACUUUGAUCAUUUCUUCAACAGAUUUAGUAGCCCAGAUGGCCGCCUCAAGAGUAGGUUCCUAGGAUACUGGCACAGUGUACUCCCAUGGUAGUCCUUUUAUAUACUUAUUGAUUAGGUACGAUGAGCAAAGCAAACUCCAUCUUGUCUGUGAAGGCAUUGGUAUAUUCAUCAAUUGACAUGUUGUCCUUUUUCAAUGUCAGAAACUGGUUCUCCAACUCUAGCAAGUUUUGGGCUGAGCAGAACUUGCGUUUAAAGUGUACCAAGAAUUCUACCCAUGUCAAUUGUAGUGGCUCAUUGGGGCUUAUGAUCUUUCCCAAAGUGUUCCACCAACAAACAGCCCCACCCCUAAACUAACGCACACCAUAAGUAGUUUGUAGCUUGCCCUUGCAAUCACAUGUUAUGAAAGCUAGCUACAUCUCAAAGAUCCAGUCCAUAACUUCGAUUGGAUCUUCCUUCCCAGUAAAAGUUUAUGGUUUGCAAGUCGUAAAGUCUUUAUACUUGCAUCCGUUCCUUUCAAUUCCUUCAUCCUGGUUAUUUCUCCUAACCACUUGUGGUUCGGCUUGACUAACGGUUCUACUAUAAUUUCCUUCUUUUGAUUGUUCAAUGUUCAGUUCAGGUUAUAUAAUGGGUAUAGUAGGUUCAUCCCUAUUAAGCAACAUUAGUCUCAUCUCUUCCCUUUGUUCGUCCAUCAUAGCCCGAAUCAUUGCUUGGACUCCUGCCAUGGUGACUGGAUCGGGUGUAGCUGCUACCUCUGGUACACGCUCAAUUACUCGUAGCUCCGACUGCAAGUUUCCAUUAGCGUUUCCUAAUCCGUUGCGAUUUCUAACCAUGUCGAUCUAUUCACCAAAUCAGACGUUCGGUAUCUAGUGACGAGAAUUAAGAUAGGAAAAGCUUUAUUCACGACAUACGUAUAAAUCUCUGUAUCACUCCGAAAAGUUAUAUGUCAGUUCUAAUACCAUAAUUAAACGUUUAGAAAUCUGAACACAUGAAAUUUACAUAUCCGGUCGGCGGUAGACCAUAGAUUCGAUCAAACGAUAGCAUCAUAAAGCAUAUAUCAUUUAGCACAUAAGAGAAGUUUACCCAUAUUCCCUAAAUAAGCUAGUGCUCAUGUCUAUUCAGAAAUACUUCCUAAAAUAUAAUAGACACACUCCUCACAAUCAUCGCUUAGCAUUCUAAGUUUAAGUCUAGAAAUAAAUCCUUACUCCUAGUUCGCUUAAACUAAUGCUCUAAAACCAACUGUCACAUCCUCAUUUUCACGGCCAAAAAAGACUGAUUUGUUUAUGCUCAUUUAAAAAUCAUAGUAUCAUUUUUGAAGAAUAAUAUUGCUGAAUUUGUUCCUAGAAAACAUGAUAAUGAUAUUAUCAAAGCAUUUCAAAAGAAAUAUAUUUUAUUUAUGUUAAAACAUUGGGAUGUGUAACGACCCGUUUCCGGUAUGUUAAUUAAUUUGUUUUGGGCUAAGUUUUCAAGAGGGACUCGGCGAGUUCUAGCCUGACUCGCCGAGUCGGGUCGCGCAUCUUGGGCACGCGGGAGCCGGCGACUCGACGAGUCCAUAUCCUGGACUCGGCGAGUCCAUCCGUCUGGGUGAAACCCUAACUCCCCGGGUUUGCUCACUAUUUAAACCCCAUUAAUGCCUCCAUCUCGUCACUUUCCCCCUGAGAGCACUGUGAGAAACCCUAAACCUUCCUCUUGUGAGCUUAUAAGUGAUCUUAUUCCAUUUUGGUGAAGGGGUGAAGAAGGAGAAGAAGAAGGAAGCAAGGAAACGAGUUCUAGUGCCAAGAUCCAAGUUCAAGUGUGAACUUAUUCAGGUAUUUUCGGAGUCCCCUUCUGGUUUCAUGCUUAAACUUCCAUUAGAGCUCUUUUAAGGGCUAUUUGAUGCUUGUUCCAAGCUUUAUGCUUGCUUGAUUGUAUUAUUAUGCCGAAAUACCUUUGGAUCUGAGUGUUGGGGUGUUGAAGAGUCCAGAUCCACUGUCUUUUUGGGGUUACAUUGCUUAUUAGCCAUGGAUCUACCCUUAUUGUGCAUAUUUGAGUCUUAUUUCCCUCAUUCAUGUAGUUGUGCACGUAAAGUUGGAAACUUUACGUGGUAAAACAGCUUAAUGGACCUAGAUCUAUCUUUUGCAUGUGUUGGAUUCAAGAGAAAUCGAGUAAAAAUAUGUUGCAUGGCGGCGACUCGGCGAGUCGGAGGAACGACUCGACGAGUCAGGUCGCGAGUCCCGAGUUCUUCAGUUUCUUCAGUGUCGAGUGUACGAGGUGAGUUAGGGAGUGGACUCAGCGAGUUAAGAGUAGACUCAGUAAUGGAGGGACUCGGCGAGUUUGUUCAUACAACUCGGCGAGUCCAAGGCAAUCUCCUUGAGGAUUAAGAACAACUCGUCGAGUCUGUUCAUCUGACUCGGCGAGUCGGAUGAAGAUCAUCUGAGUUCUUGGAUCCAGAGGGUACCCGUCGAGUCGAUGCCACACUCGACGAGUAACAGCAUGUAAGAGUUGAACGGGGAAUCUAGGACUCGGCGAGUCGGGUAUCCCGACUCGGCGAGUCAGCCCUGAGUAAGUCAACUUUGACCAAGGGUAAAAGAGUCAUUUUACCCUGAGUGUAGUGCUAGUGAUUGAUUGAGUGUGUUUAUGGAUUUGUAGCCGAGGAGAUUCAGGAGCAGCAGCCGUUAGCUUUCCGAGCCGCACUCUCAUCCGCUAGCUUACGAGGUGAGUUUCCUUCCCGUAGGGGCGGGUCUAAGGCCACAAUGCCGGCCCGUCCAGUUAAUAGUAGUUUCCGGACUUCGGUCCGAUGUAGUAGUUAGUAUGUUUGAUGCCUUCGUGGUUCAGACAUGUUUUAUGUGCUAUGUGUAUGUGUUUAUGUUCCGGGCCACGGCCCGAUGCAGUAUGCAGUAUAAAUUGUUAUGAUAUGCUAUGCUAUGUGCAGUCAGUCCCGGACCUCGGUCCGAUGCAGGGGACACGGUCCCAGUUAGUUCCGGACUUCGGUCCGAUGCAGUUAGUUCCGGACUUCGGUCCGAUGCAGUCAGUUCCGGACUUCGGUCCGAUGCAGUUAGUUCCGGACUUCGGUCCGAUGCAGGGGACAAGGUCCCAGUCAGUUCCGGACUUUGGUCCGAUGCAGUUUCCGGGCUUCGGCCCGAUGCAGUGGGCAAGGCCCAAUAUGUGUUUAUGUGUUAUUGUAUGGUAUGUGGUAAUUUGGGGGAGCUCACUAAGCUUCGUGCUUACAGUUUCAGUUUUGGUUUCAGGUACUUCCGCAAGCAAAGGGAAGAGCUCUGGAUGACGGCAUCGCACACACCACCGUUUCAGCUUUAGUUGGAUUUGAUUUAGUUGUUGUUUUGGAUAUAGCAUGUUACAUUUUCCGCACAGUACUUUAUUAUCUUUUGGGACAUAUCACGCAUGGUUUAUCUAUAUGAUACUCUGAUUAUAGUUUUGAUGGUAUUAAAAACAAAAUUUUUGGGUCGUAUUUUUGGGUCGUUUCAAGUUGGUAUCAGAGCCCUGGUUUGAGGGAUUCGGAUACACUCUCGGGUGUAUCUGAACUCAAACUAAAGGGAAAUAAAAGAUUUUUAAUAAAAUGUUUUUACAAAAGAAUUUUGAAAACACUUAGGAAGGAAAAGAAUUGUUUUAAGAUAGAGGUGUGUGCAUGCGGUCAACCGAGCUCAAGUAAGUACUCCCAAAUUACCCAUACAAGUUAUUUGUUCAAUUUCAGUUUAGUAGAACAGCAUGCUAGAAUAGGACUAAGGGUGUAGGAGAAUGCCUUAUGUGCCUGCUUAUGUGUUACAGCUCUAUGAAUAUUGCAUGCUAGAAUUGAGUAGACAGCAGUAGGAUAGCCUGUUUAGGUUAUGCCUGAUAGUGUGAGCUUAGCAUCCUAUGCUAGUGCAAUUUCUUGUUAUAAGAAUAGCUUGCGUGAGUCUGUUUCCCUUGUCCGAAUGCUGCUUGCUUUGUGCUUAGUGGGAUUCCGAGUAAUGGGAGUUAGCCAUUAGGUGGACACGUCACACCACAUGUAAUCAGGUUUGAAUAAUCCCAGAGUGCUGGAACUGGCCCUACUGCGCAGCUCUUGUUUGAGUCCAACCGUUGUAGGGACGGAUCUUUUACUUGAAGGAUUAUCCGAUCCUCAUCACAUGUGAUGGUGUUCAGGUGAUGGCUAACUGGCAGUGCAAGGAGACCUACAGCAGCUGAGGACCAGUCGUAUUGAGCUCGAGUUUUCUCUAGGGCAAGCCUAGGGUGAGAGUAGCAGAAAAUAGCAGCGGUAGAAGUGACUUGGGGAAGUCGAGGCAGUUCUUGAGGAAAGUACGGAUAGAUGUGGAAGGUAGUAGGGGCCCAUACUACUGGAAACAGAGGAUCCGUACUCGAAUCAAGGAAGGCCAAGAUUAGACCAGGAAGCUAGUAGUCGUAUUAUGAUCCCUUGAAAUAUUUCAAUGUUCUGAUGUUGUUAUGAUAUGUUUCAGAAUGGUAGUUUUGCGUCCGAGGCCAGCAGCCGGCAGUUCAGAUGCCGGAGGAGGAUCAGGAUCGGGAUCCGACCCGGAGGUCGGACAGAUGGAUGAGCAGACCAGAGAGUUCCUUUCUUCUGAGAUUACUCGCAUCAUACUUGAGCAGACUCCUGUGAUCUUCGGUUCGAUCAAGGAGGGCAUUUUGGAGAUGAUGGAUGAGAGACUGAGUACCUUCCGUACUGAGAUGGCGGCCGUGAUGGGGUCGCGCACACUCACUUUCAGGGAGUUCAGGGCAUGCGGGGCUCCUGACUAUCACGGGGCACGGGACCCCAUAGCGAGUACCAGGUGGUUGGCGGAUGUGGCCAACGCAUUCCGCACUAGCAGAUGUCCCGAGGGGGACAAGGUCAGAUUGGCGUCCUGUCUCCUGAAGGACAGGGCACGUGACUGGUGGGAGGAGGUAGGACAUACCAUCGGGGAUGAUGCGGCAUUGGAUGCCAUGACCUGGGCUGAUUUCUCUACCAGGUUCAGAGCGGAGUUCGCACCGGUCAUUGAGGUGCAACAGUUAGCCAGGGAGUUCCAGGAUCUUACCCAGACUACCGAGACAGUGGCGGAGAUCACCGCCAAGUUCAGGGAGCGGGCCCUUCUUGUUCCUCAGUAUGCAGCAGACGAGGAGAUGAAGAAGGCCCGUUAUCACGAGAUGUUGCGGAGCGACAUUCGUAUGUUUGUGAGCCGGUCCAGUUGCAAAACACUGGACGACAUGAUUGCUAGAGCCAGAGAGAGGGAGAUUGAUCUCGAGAUGGAGAGGAAGAGGAAACCGGAGGCGGUUUCGGGUGCAGGCAGUGUGGGCAAAAAGCCCAAGGUUUCAGAUCACAGGUCCAGGGGUCAGCAGAGCCACGGUCGAUGUGGCAAGUGUGGGAGGUUGCACGAGGGGGCGUGCAAGGCAGGGAGUUCCGGCUGCUACAAGUGCGGUCGGACCGGGCAUAUGAGUAGGGAUUGUACGGCCCCUGCCACUACGGUUACAGCAUCGGAUCUGAUUUGCUUUCAGUGCAAUCAGAGGGGACACAAAAGGUCCCAGUGUCCCAGUUUAGCUGCAGCAGGGAAGGUGCAUGCACCCGCCCCUGCUACUUUGAGGAUCACAGAUGGCCGUCAGGGCCGAGCUGAUGCGCCGGUGGCGAAGAGCAGGGCAUUUCAGAUGACAGCAGAGGAGGCGCGAGCGACUCCUGAUGUGGUGACGGGUAUGUAUAUUUCUUUCAUCUCUUAAUUAUUAAUAUAUCGUUUGAAUAUUAUUUGAUGGUACGCUUUAUUUAGGGUCGUUCUCGGUGAACGGCAUCCCUGCUUUGGUAUUGUUUGACUCGGGGGCCACCCGAUCAUUUGUAUCGCUUGCGCUUAGCAAGAGAUUUAGCAGAGCUCCGGGGGAACUGGAUUGUCCGUUAGAGGUGGAGAUAGCAGAUGAUAGGACCGUGAGGGUCGACAAAGUAUAUAGAGGGUGUUCCCUUCAGAUAUUUGAGGAGCAGUUUUCAGUGGAUUUGGUUCCGAUUCCCCUGCGCGGGAAUAAAGUUAUUGUGGGAAUGGAUUGGCUAAGCCCCAACGGGGCGGUGAUUGAUUGUGAGCUUCAGCUAGUGAGGGUUCGCACUCCCAGUGGGGGAGAGAUAGUGGUUCAGGGCGAGAGGCCCCAGCGAGGAUUGACCUUCUGCUCUGCCGCUAGGGCGAGGCGCUACGUUCAGCAGGGUUGCGCCGGUUAUGUAGCCUACGUCUUGGAUGCCCGGGAUAAGGGCAAGACGACGAUCGAUGAUGUUCCUAUUGUUCGAGAUUACCCGGAUGUGUUUCCCGAGGAUUUGCCGGGGAUACCUCCUGAGAGGCAGGUUGAGUUCAGGAUCGACCUGGUUCCUGGUGCGGCUCCGAUAGCCAAAGCACCAUAUCGACUUGCUCCCCCUGAGAUGCAGGAGUUGUCUACACAGCUUCAGGAGCUGUUAGACAAGGGUUUCAUUCGACCGAGCAGUUCGCCUUGGGGAGCGCCGAUCUUAUUUGUGAGGAAGAAAGACGGGUCGCAUCGGAUGUGUAUUGAUUACCGGGAGUUGAACAAGGUAACGGUGAAGAACCGUUACCCACUUCCGAGGAUAGAUGACUUGUUUGAUCAGCUCCAGGGAGCGUCUUGGUUCUCCAAGAUCGACCUACGCUCCGGUUACCACCAGAUGAGGGUCAGGGAUGAGGAUGUACAGAAGACUGCUUUCAGGACCCGGUAUGGUCAUUAUGAGUUUGUGGUGAUGCCAUUUGGGCUCACCAAUGCCCCAGCCGCGUUCAUGGAUCUCAUGAACCGCGUGUGUAGACCGAUGCUGGAUCGGUCAGUGAUAGUGUUCAUCGAUGACAUCUUGGUGUAUUCCAAGACGCAGGGACAGCACGAGGAGCACCUGCGGGAGGUGUUGGAGACUUUGAGGAGGGAGAGACUGUUCGCUAAGUUCUCCAAGUGCGAGUUCUGGUUACGCGAGGUGCAGUUUCUUGGGCAUCUCGUUAAUCAGAAGGGUAUUUUGGUUGACCCGGCCAAGAUUGAGGCCGUGAUGCAGUGGGAGGUCCCGAGGUCUCCAUCUGAGAUUCGGAGCUUCCUAGGAUUGGCAGGGUAUUAUCGGAGGUUUAUUCAGGAUUUCUCCAAGAUAGCAGUGCCGCUCACCCGACUAACCAAGAAGUCGGUAGUUUUUCGUUGGGGGCCUGAGCAGCAGGCGGCGUUCGAGACUCUCAGGCAGAGAUUGUGCGAGGCUCCGAUCCUUACCUUGCCAGAGGGUGUUGAGGAUUUCGUGGUCUAUUGUGAUGCUUCGAUCACAGGUAUGGGAGCAGUGUUGAUGCAGCGAGGCCAUGUGGUGGCUUAUGCUUCGAGACAGUUGAAGCCUCACGAGGCUAAUUAUCCUACCCACGACUUGGAGCUGGGGGCAGUUGUAUUUGCCCUCAAGAUUUGGAGGCAUUACCUGUAUGGGGUCCGCUGUACUAUCUACACGGACCACAAGAGUUUACGAUACCUUAUGGAUCAGCCGAGUUUGAAUAUGAGACAGAGGAGAUGGUUGGACGUGCUGAAGGACUAUGACUGUGAGAUCCUGUAUCAUCCAGGGAAGGCCAACGUGGUGGCCGAUGCCCUGAGCCGCAAGGUGUCGGCGGCCCCUAUCAGGGAUUUGUGUAUGAGGAUGACGGUAAUCACUCCUUUGUUGGAGCGGAUCAAGGAGGCUCAGAUGGAGGGUCUCAAGGAGGAAAGGCAGAAGUGCGAGAGGAUAGUGGGUCGAGUAGCUUCGUUCGACUACGACAGUCGGGGUUUGAUGACGCUUCAUGGUAGGGUGUGGGUACCGUACUGGGGUGGGGUACGGCAGAUAUUGAUGGACGAGGCUCAUAAGUCUCGAUUUUCUAUCCAUCCAGGGGCGACGAAGAUGUAUCGAGAUCUUCGACCUGAUUAUUGGUGGCCCUGCAUGAAGCGGGACGUCGCUUGGUACGUUGAGAGGUGCUUGACCUGCCGGAAGGUCAAGGCGGAGCACCAGAGACCUCACGGCAAGAUGCAGCCGUUGGAUAUUCCCGUGUGGAAAUGGGAGGACAUCACCAUGGAUUUUAUCACCAAACUUCCCAGGACCGCACGUGGAGUAGAUUCGAUAUGGGUAGUGGUGGAUCGGUUGACGAAGAGUGCCCAUUUUAUUCCGAUCCAGGAGAGUAUAUCGGCGGAAAGGUUAGCCGAUAUCUAUGUGCGAGAGAUUGUGGCACGUCAUGGAGUGCCGGUAUCGGUGGUGUCAGACCGAGAUGUUCGCUUCACGUCCAGAUUUUGGAAGCGGUUUCACGACGAGAUGGGUACUCGUCUCCAUUUCAGCACCGCUUUCCAUCCUCAGACUGACGGGCAGAGUGAGAGGACGAUUCAGACUCUCGAGGACAUGCUUAGGGCAUGUGUUCUGGAUUUUGGGGGCUGUUGGGAUACGUAUCUUCCCUUAGCGGAAUUCUCGUAUAACAACAGCUAUCAUGCGAGCAUUGAUCGACCUCCUUUUGAGAUGUUAUAUGGCAGGAAGUGCAGGACCCCGAUUUGUUGGGGCGAGGUCGGUCAGCGGGUCAUGGGGAGCACCGAAGUGGUGCUCAAGACGACGGAACUGAUCCAGCAGGUCCGUAGUAGACUGCAGACUGCGCAGAGUCGGCAGAAGAGCUACGCCGACAGGAGGCGUUCAGACUUGGAGUUCCAGGUGGGAGACAUGGUUCUUCUGAAAGUCUCACCUUGGAAAGGUGUCAUCAGGUUCCGGAAGAGGGGCAAAUUGGGCCCCAGAUUUAUUGGUCCUUUCAGGGUUUCGGCCCGGGUGGGUCGGGUUGCUUAUCGGUUAGAUCUUCCGGAGGAGCUCAGUUUGAUACACAACACCUUCCACGUGUCGCAGUUGAGGAAGUGUUUAGUGGACGAGACAGCGGUCGUUCCCUUGGAGGAUAUCCAGGUCGAUAGCGGCUUGAAUUAUAUCGAGAAACCGAUAGCAAUUUUGGAGCGAAAGACCAAGACCUUGAGGAACAAGGUAAUUCAGCUGGUAAAGGUGCAGUGGCAGCAUCGGAAGGGGUCUGAAUGGACAUGGGAGGCUGAAGAAGAAAUGAGAACGCACUACCCGGAGUUAUUCGCAGAUCCAGCCGUAGCAGACUUCGAGGACGAAGUCUGAAACAAGUGGGGGAGAAUUGUAACGACCCGUUUCCGGUAUGUUAAUUAAUUUGUUUUGGGCUAAGUUUUCAAGAGGGACUCGGCGAGUUCUAGCCUGACUCGCCGAGUCGGGUCGCGCAUCUUGGGCACGCGGGAGCCGGCGACUCGACGAGUCCAUAUCCUGGACUCGGCGAGUCCAUCCGUCUGGGUGAAACCCUAACUCCCCGGGUUUGCUCACUAUUUAAACCCCAUUAUAGCCUCCAUCUCGUCACUUUCCCCUGUUAGCACUGUGAGAAACCCUAAACCUUCCUCUUGUGAGCUUAUAGUGAUUUUAUUCCAUUUUGGUGAAGGAGUGAAGAAGGAGAAGAAGAAGGAAGCAAGGAAACGAGUUCUAGUGCCAAGAUCCAAGGUCAAGGGUGAACUUAUUCAGGUAUUUUCGGAGUCCUCUUCUGGUUUCAUGCUUAAACUUCCAUUAGAGCUCUUUUAAGGGCUAUUUGAUGCUUGUUCCAAGCUUUAUGCUUGCUUGAUUGUAUUAUUAAGCCGAAACACCUAUGGAUCUGAGUGUUGGGGUGUUGAAGAGUCCAGAUCCACUGUCUUUUUGGGGUUACAUUGCUUAUUAGCCAUGGAUCUACCCUUAUUGUGCAUAUUUUAGUCUUAUUUCCCUCAUUCAUGUAGUUGUGCACGUAAAGUUGGAAACUUUACGUGGUAAAACAGCUUAAUGGACCUAGAUCUAUCAUUUGCAUGUGUUGGAUUCAAGAGAAAUCGAGUAAAAAUAUGUUGCAUGGCGGCGACUCGGCGAGUCGGAAGAACGACUCGACGAGUCACGUCGCGGGUCCCGAGUUCUCCAGUUUCUUCAGUGUCGAGUGGACUAGGUGAGUUAGGGAGUGGACUCAGCGAGUUAAGAGUAGACUCAGUAAUGGAGGGACUCGGCGAGUUGUUCAUACAACUCGGCGAGUCCAAGGCAAUCUCCUUAAGGAUUAAGAACAACUCGUCGAGUCUGUUCAUCUGACUCGGCGAGUCGGAUGAAGAUCAUCUGAGUUCUUGGAUCCAGAGGGUACCCGUCGAGUCGAUGCCACACUCGACGAGUAACAGCAUGUAAGAGUUGAACGGGGAAUCUAGGACUCGGCGAGUCGGGUAUCCCGACUCGGCGAGUCAGCCCUGAGUAAGUCAACUUUGACCAAGGGUAAAAGGGUCAUUUUACCCUGAGUAUAGUGCUAGUGAUUGAUUGAGUGUGUUUAUGGAUUUGUAGCCGAGGAGAUUCAGGAGCAGCAGCCGUUAGCUUUCCGAGCCACACACUCAUCCGCUAGCUUACGAGGUGAGUCUCCUUUCUGUAGGGACGGGUCUAAGGCCACAAUGCCGGCCCGUCCAGUUAAUAGUAGUUUCCGGACUUCGGCCCGAUGUAGUAGUUCGUAUGUUUGAUGCCUUCGUGGUUCAGACACGUUUUAUGUGCUAUGUGUAUGUGUUGGUGUUCCGGGCCACGGCCCGAUGCAGUAUGCUAUAUAAAUGGUUAUGAUAUGUUAUGCUAUGUGCAGUCAGUCCCGGACCUCGGUCCGAUGCAGGGGACACGGUCCCAGCCAGUUCCGGACUUCGGUCCGAAGCAAUCAGUUUCGGACUUCGGUCCGAUGCAGUUAGUUCCGGACUUCGGUCCGAUGCAGGGGACAAGGUCCCAGUCAGUUCCGGACUUUGGUCCGAUGCAGUUUCCGGGCUUCGGCCCGAUGCAGUGGGCAAGGCCCAAUAUGUGUUUAUGUGUUAUUGUAUGGUAUGUGGUAGUUUGGGGGAGCUCACUAAGCUUCGUGCUUAUAGUUUCAGUUUUGGUUUCAGGUACUUCCGCAAGCAAAGGGAAGAGCUCUGGAUGACGGCAUCGCACACACCACCGCCUCAGCUUUAGCCUGGGAUUGAUUUAGAUGUUUGAUCUGAUGUAGCAUGAUUCAGUUGUUCCGCACAGUAUUUUACUAUGUUUUGGAAUACAUCACGUAUGGCUUUAUUAUAUGAUGCUCUGAUUGCAGUUUUUGAUUAUAUUAAAAACAAAAAUUUUUGGGUCGUAUUUUUGGGUUGUUUCAGGAUGUCAUCGACAAAACAGAAGCAUAAGCAUAACUUACAGUAAUUAAACAAGUGGCCUAAUACUCCUUGAAUCUCUCAGCAUAAUGUAUCUUUCAUAUAGCCACCUGUGAUACAAUAAACUGAGUGGAUCAGGUUGAGAAAACUGGUGAGUACAUAGGGAUUUCAAUCUCACAAUGUGAUAAUAAUGUAUAUCUCAAACCUGCAAAUCCAACUAUUAUCAUUAAUAUAGAUAUAUCAUAUCUCUAAAAUAAUUUAUCCCAUCCCAUCGAUUCCCACGUACAGAUCCUAUACAACGAUCUUACAAAAUCUAGCCUAAAGGAUCAAUAUGAACAACAAACUGACGACAUUGCUUUGGAUAUUCCCUGGCAGCAAACAAGGAUCAAUAAAUACAUCAAAUGAGGGGAAUGGAAUAAGUUUUACCACGAACCUCCAUUCGUAUAAACAACAAGACAAUUAAGUCAGUGGUGGUUAUCUAGAUAACUAUGCCUAGCAGUGGUCUGACACCGUGAGGUAUUUUACCCCUAGACUCACCCUAUUCGGCAAUACAACAUCACAUAUACCUAGUAGUGGUCUAUUUGUGAUACACACUAUAAGGAAGUCUACAAAGUUCCCUCAAUUACUUCAUGAAAGGAAACGAUGAAACACAAAGCUCAUCAAAAGAAAAAGUAUAGGGAAAUACUAAUAAAGUACUCCUGAACACUUUCGUACUCCGCCACAUAAUAGUGUCAAAAGGACUUUGUACAUGAUAGUACUUCUGGCACAUUAUAGUACUCUGAUAUGAAUAGGACUUGUACCCCGGAACAUAAUAAUGCCCCGGCACAAGCAACACCUGAGAUACAAAUCUUUGGAAAAGACUUGGUACAUAGAAAGUACUCUUGUACGUACGACAUACUCCAUUGAUCAUCGAUCUCCUCGAACAGAGUUUCUACUCUCUAUUCCGAUAACACACGUACCCUUAAUAAGAUACUACCCAAUAUCCAAACUUAAUUAAACUAAGCGUCUAUUUUAAUUAAGUCUUAUUCCAUCACUAAGCAAGCCUUAAUGCUUAUAAUCAACUUUCAAUACUAACUCUAUUUUGGCAACACUAUCCUAAUUUAUUGUAAUAUUUUAUAUAGAGUAUUAAGUAUUACCAUACAUUUAUCUUUUCAUUUAUAAUACUUCUAUUAUUAUUAUCAUGUAAAUACAUCUUAACACAUAUAGAACCAUGUAUGGUUCGCAUAGCGUAUAUCAUCAAAUAUACAUAUAACACAUAUUUCCAGAUAAUAAGCAUAUAACUCACAUAUAAACUUUCAACAUAUAUUUAAUACCUUUAUUAAUACUUGUAUUAAAAUCAUGUGCAUAAAAGGGACAAUGCACUUACUUGUUAAAGCGACGACUUGAAAUUUGGGCAGCGCCUCACUUCUAAAAAUUGUCUUUUCCUUUGACGUAACCUAGCAUUGUUAUCACUAAGUUUUAGUCUAAUAUUUAUUGCAACUAAUUAUUAGUCUAGAUUCAUCAUUAAUUCAAAGUCUACUUCAAGAUCUAUCAAGUAAGGAACAACCAAGUAGGAUCAUAUCGGAGGUAAUGUCCAUUUCGUAUACGAAGUAUACUGUUUGGAAAUCCCACUUUAAACAUCUCACUAAAUCACAGCCUAGACAUUAUCUCCGUAAGUAGAUCAAUCAGUAUAACGACUUGGAAUCACUGAUAAAUCUUUUAUAUAGGUUUAUAAUAAUGAUAACGAACUUAAACAUAAGUUAUACUUAAAUUAUGGUAAGCAUAACUCACUUACAAGGGGUUUUAGCGAGGAAUCGGGCUCUAUGCGAGCAGAACAUCUGAGCCGAAAGCUCUUCUUCUCGGGGCCUUCUGGCUCUCCGGCAUUUGCUUCUAACACUAAGGAGGUGCUAGUGAAAAACUUAGAGGGUUUGGGUUGUUUGGGAGAGAAAGGUUUAGAAAGGCGUGAGAUAAAUGAGUGAAAACGAGCUCUAUUUAUAGGAUGAGAUUUCGAGUUACGUUGGGCGUAAUUUAGAUGUAUGCAUGGCGUACUGUUGUAUGAUGGGUGUACACAUGCCACGUGUCGCAAUCUUGUUCCAAGAUAUGGGGAAGAAGUAGUGGCUGAGAUUGUGCCACGUAUCACUCCGGGGUUUUAAUCUAAAACUAAUUAUCUUCUAAAAUCCGUAAUUUUCGCAUACGAGCUCCUUUUUUGACAUUCAUUACAUCCACGCGUAGGUAGCAACGUGAUCUACAACUUUCUUUUAUACACCGUCAGCUAAUUUUGACUUUAAUUUUUGAAGUUAUAUUUUAACAGACUUAGACAGUUAAAGUUUGUCAAAAAUUCAUAACUUUUUCAUCUGACAUCCGUUUUCGAAUGUCUUUAUAUCGAUCGUUCUAAAAUUCGAUUUCCAAGAUGUGUACUGCUACGCUAAAUCUUAGAAAAUUCAUAACUUCCUCAAAUGAAAUCAUAUUUGGACGUUCUCUAUAUGCACACUAUUGAUUUAACGUCUACUACGACUUUUAUUUAGAUUUCUAAAAGGCUAAAAAGUAUUUCAUCAAAAAUUCACUUUUUACGUUACGUAGAGCCAUGUCGGUUUAGUCGCAAAACUUCGACGGGUCAUAACUUCUUCGUUAUAAGUCGGAUUUUAGCGUUCUUUAUAUGUACAGAAUCCUUGUGACAUAUACUAUAACUUUGGUUAAGAUUGUUUACUCUAAAUAAUAUUCUAUCAAAAAGUCAUUUUUAACGUUUAUUGUCUCUAAAUUGACUAACCCGAAUCUGCGAGCGUUACAAUUAUCUCCCAUUAGGAUGAUUACGUCCUGAAAUCAUCAACAAAACAGUACAUUUACUCAGAUCAUCAUCAGAACAAAGCAUGAGAGAUUAAGAACCUUUUACUCCGCCAACGCACGACCCCAAAAGGAAGUGUGGUCUCGGAAGAGAAUUCCUAAGAUCAUUGGAUAUGGUAACAAGGUUUAGAGAAAGUUUGAUCUCAAUUGCAUGAUGUACAGAUACUACAUUUCUAGGAACAAAGAAUCCACCAUUACAAUCACAGAUGCAGACUUUCCUUCGAUCAAACCAAAUGACAUUCUCACUUUCGAGAUCGUCAAUCAUGUAAAACAAGCAUUGGAGCCUACAGUACUGUAAUAAAUUUCCUAAAGGACUAUAUUGAUGAAUUAUGUAGAUCCAACAUUGAAUUUUCUUACCUUUUCGGAACAAGGAGCAUUCUAGCAAAAAUACUACUAAAAUUCCUGAAGCACAAAUCUUAGCAGAAGGCCCCAUUGAAGUACCGGAACUCGGUUAUGUCUAUCUCAAAAAGAAGACUAAUCAAAUAGAAUUCUUUAGAGUUCUUAAUAAACACCUUAUUCCAACAACGAUCCUUCAAAAGUUCAUUUCCAAUGCUGCCAAAAGUGAAUCACCCGAGCAUGUCAAGAAGAAGUUCAUUGAGCAUCUCAGAUAGCACUUAGAAGUUCGAAGUUGGCUCCAAAGUGCUUAUCUCUUAGUAUUUGAUGAAGCUAAGUGAAGAGUUGUUUGAUUGCUAAGGUCACUUAGGAGUAGAUUUUUUAUACAUGAAAGUGAACAUCUAGGAAUUCGAAGUCAAGCCAUUCUGAAGUGAUGUGCAUUCUGAAGUGUGAUGAGUUUUGAAAUGAAGCUACUUCCGAAAUGAAGUUAUAUUUGAGAAACACCUUGUAUUCAGUGCUAUUUUGAGUCUGUAUUAGCAUUAAAUGUUUCUUAUCUUUUAGUCUUUGUUUUAUUGUAAAUAUCAUGGGACAAGAUCAAGAAAAUUGUGUGUGUCACGUUUUUGACUUUUCAGCUUUACAUAGUCCAUGCAGUCUUGUUAGUUUGUCUUUUUAUCACUCAUUAGCUAUUUAAGGAGAUGUGAUUUUCAUGCAAUGUAACAGUUAGAGCAACAUUCUCUUUCACACCAGUACCAAGUAUCUUGCAAGUCAAAUCAUUCUCUCUGUCAUUCUCAUUGUUCUUAAAUUUCUUUACAUUGUUCAUACUCAUUUACUUGAGUACUUUGUUGAACUUCUUACUUCAAGGCAAUAUUGGUUUACCAUACUUGACUGGACUCUUAAUAUUAGCAACAGAGAUUGAUCUUAAUUUAGUUCAAGGUUUGAGUUUUCAAACCUAUUCCGCGCACAUAUUCUUGCACUUUCAUCUGCUCCAGCCUGCACUUCAUCCAAAGUUGCAGCUCAAUCUCCCGCUCUCGGGGUCUAGCAAUCAUAUCCUCCAAAUUCUUGCAGCUAGAUAGGCUCAUAAGCUCAUGAUUAUCAUCCCGUAACAUAUCAUGGUACCUUGUCUUUCUCAUCUCCUCAUUUGUUGCAUACUGUGUAACUAGCAAAGGUCUCUCCCUAAAUGUAGUGGUGAUCUCCGCCACAGUCUCAUUCGUCUGGUGCAGGUCUUGAAUCUCCAUCACCAACUGUUACACCUCAAUAGUUGGUGCAACUCUGUCUCGAACCUCACCAUGAAAUCAUCUAAAGUCGUGGUCGUCAUACUCGUCGACCCUAACUGUCCUACUACAAUCUCGACCUAAAAAGCCCUUAUAUGCUCAUCCAAAAGUUUCAUGAUCCCCCUCUUUGAUGGUACCAAACAUCACAGGAGUCACAUCCAAAAUACCAUGAGUAAUCUCAGACGAAACGAACUCGCGAAUCCUCUCAUCAAACGGGUCAACCCCAAAUCCUACACUUGAACCAGAACUAUAACCUCCUCCACGAAAGCUUAGAACAUACCCAACGAGUCCUCAUUCUACAGAUUUCCUAGAAUCUCUGUGACUUUCCUUGAUUCAAGUAUGAAUCAUGUGCUUUCAGUAGUAUGAUCCCAAUACUGCCUUCCACACCUAUCCAUACUUUCCUCAAGGAUUAUCUUGAAUCCUCUAAGUCACCUUCUCAAACUGGUACUCCAAGUACCCACUAAAAAACACAUCGAAACCUACUAAAACACUUCCUAGGCUCUCCUAAGUUCCUCGCCCCACCCUGCCAUCAGUUGUUGAAGAACCUCUACUAAUGUCAGCUAACUGCUUCAUGAAUACAAUUACAUGCAACAAAGCUUAGAUAACCCUUCGACUAAAAGACUCAACCCUAUAACGGUUAGACUCAAACGAGAGUUGCAAAAUAGGGUCAAGUUAAUCACUCAAAGAUUAUUUAACCUUUAUUGCAUGUAAAUUAACAUAUUCAUGUAAUAAUCAACUCAAGUCAAUAUAGGUCCCACAAAGUACAAAGCAAGCAGCAUCCGGGCAUCGAGAAAUCUAAAAUAGUGCAUCACCUAAUCAAUCCAUUCUAUCCAAUCAUCAUAUAUCCAUUCUAACAUGCAGUUCUAAAAGCUCAACCAACAAGCAUAUAAAGGCAUCUCUCCUGGUAUUCUACCAUGCAAUCCCGAGCAGAUCCUUAGCCCUAUUCUAGCAUGCAAUUUUCAUAACAUAUAACAUAACAAGAUGUAUGGGCAUUCUAAGAAUCACUUAUUUGAUCUCGACUGAUUCCACGCAUCGCACCCUUUUUUAUAAAAAAAAUCAUUUAGAAAAUUCAUUUUCUAUCCAAAAGAUUACCAAUUCCUCAGUUUGAGUUUAGACACACCGAAGAGUGUGCAUAGAUCCCUCAAACCAAGGCUCUGAUACCAACUUGUAACGAUCCAAAAAUACUGAGUAAAAUUUCAUUAUAAAUAAAUUAAAACAAUUCUUUCAAUGUUCCAAAAGACUAUUAGAGUCAAAGUAUUCUCAAAACAUCAAAGUAAUUUGUAAACAUUCGGUACAGAAUAAAUCUCCAGGGGAUACAGUGCGAUCAAGUCGCGCCCUUCCUCUUGAAAGCGAAAGUACCUGAAACCAUAAACAUAAAACUGUAAGCACAAAGCUUAGUGAGUUCCCCAAAAUACCACAUACCAUAUAUACAUCGAGCCCUACCCGGCAUCCAUCAGUCCCUUCCCGACAUCGGUCCAUGCCGACAUCCAUCGGGCCCCGCUCGGUAACCAUCAGGAUCCGCCCGAUUACAGUCAUGUAACAUGUAAUGGCCCUACCCAACACAUAUAGUGGGUCCUGUCUAAACAUACAUACAAAUAAAUGCAAGAGUCACAAAGACAGUUAGCAUACUACAAACAUAAUCCAUUGGGCCGGAAUUGAUGCCUUUGACCCACAAAUAAUGUGAUGAGACUCACCUCAAUCCGAAGAUAACCAAAUCUAACACUUGUUGCUGCUACAAAAGCUCCUCACACUAAACAUAUCCAGACAAUCCUAAUUAACAAUUAAGGUGAUAACUCAUAAUCAAAGUUCCAUUUCAUAUUCUCUUUCUCUCUUUAGGGUAAAAGACUAUUUUACCCUUCCAAGGCUAGACCCCACCCCUCCCCCCCCCCACACACACACACACCCAAAACUAAAAAAUAAUUAAAAACAUGACAAAAUGAUCAAAAAUGACCAAUAACACCUUCUGAUCGUACACCAUACAUACUCUAGCUCUACGCUAUGCGUAGAGCCUUCCCAUAGAAAACAGGGCAAGUUCACGCUACGCGUUGCAUAAUCCAAGGUUACACCAUGCGUAACCAAGCAGUUGCUAAAAUCCCUUUUUAAUUGCUUAAUACAUUAAGACAUUUCACUGAAACCAUAAAUCAGGUCCCUAAUAGCUCCAUAAUGAAUAAAGUUUCCAACUUUAUCCAUUAAGAUGGUCCAAACAACCGACAUCUAGUCUUUAAGCAUCAAAGGGACCAAAAAUACAUAUUUCUUAACUUAAUACAUGAAGUCCAAGUAUCUAACCUUCAUAUCUGAAUCAAUAUAAUGCUUAAAUAGAUAAAGUUUCCAACUUUAUCCAUAACAUGGUCACAAACUUUGAAUAUCUAAACUUUAUGCACUAAAAUGACCAAAAAGUGACAAAUAUGACAAAUGACUAGAUUUAUGAAACUAAUGAGCAAAGUUAGAAGCUUCUUACUCACAAUGGUCUAGGAAUGAUGUAAUUUUGUUGGAUCUAUACUUGAACUCUUCUUCUAUACAUUUUACCACCACUUUGCUCUUUAAGAUUCAACCUUCUAAUAGAGAAAUAAGCUCAUAAAUGAUGUCGAGGCUCAAAAAACAAGUUAGAAUAAGAUAGGGUUUCUCAAGGAAUGAUCUUAGGUGAUGGAGGCUGGCAAUGAGAGGGUUUCCCAUAAGUUAGAGCCCUUAAAUAGGGGUUGAAGUUGAAGAUUUAGGGUUUUGAUCUGCCCAUAUUACGCUCUGCGUAACAUAAAUUACGCCCUACAUAAUUCAUUAAACCCUCGUUAUGCCCUGUGUAAUUAUUAUGCCCUUGUUACGCCAUGCGUAAUCAAAAAUCCACAUUUUCCUUCAACUUCAAACAACCAUAAGUUCAUCAUUUCAACUCCGUUUUCAGCGUUCUUCAUAUGCACAGAAACGUCUUGGAGAACCCCACAAUCCUAUCUUAUUACAUUUAACUUAAAACAUAGCGAACUAAAAUACUUAUUUCAUGAAAGAAGUCUGAAACAUUACUUUUCCCUUUUUAACCCUUUGACUCCAAAACACAAACUAAGGGAUUGGAUCACAUAACCACUAUUAUCCACAUCUAAUAGGAUUUAAACUCUAUUCAUUUGAAGCCCAAGACCUUUACUUGAUCCAUUUCUUUUUCACAAUCCCGAAAUAGAAAACUUCUUAAAACAAGAUGUUAUACCAUAAAACCAAUAUAUAUAUAUANNNNNNNNNNNNNNNNNNNNNNNNNNNNNNNNNNNNNNNNNNNNNNNNNNNNNNNNNNNNNNNNNNNNNNNNNNNNNNNNNNNNNNNNNNNNNNNNNNNNNNNNNNNNNNNNNNNNNNNNNNNNNNNNNNNNNNNNNNNNNNNNNNNNNNNNNNNNNNNNNNNNNNNNNNNNNNNNNNNNNNNNNNNNNNNNNNNNNNNNNNNNNNNNNNNNNNNNNNNNNNNNNNNNNNNNNNNNNNNNNNNNNNNNNNNNNNNNNNNNNNNNNNNNNNNNNNNNNNNNNNNNNNNNNNNNNNNNNNNNNNNNNNNNNNNNNNNNNNNNNNNNNNNNNNNNNNNNNNNNNNNNNNNNNNNNNNNNNNNNNNNNNNNNNNNNNNNNNNNNNNNNNNNNNNNNNNNNNNNNNNNNNNNNNNNNNNNNNNNNNNNNNNNNNNNNNNNNNNNNNNNNNNNNNNNNNNNNNNNNNNNNNNNNNNNNNNNNNNNNNNNNNNNNNNNNNNNNNNNNNNNNNNNNNNNNNNNNNNNNNNNNNNNNNNNNNNNNNNNNNNNNNNNNNNNNNNNNNNNNNNNNNNNNNNNNNNNNNNNNNNNNNNNNNNNNNNNNNNNNNNNNNNNNNNNNNNNNNNNNNNNNNNNNNNNNNNNNNNNNNNNNNNNNNNNNNNGAUGGGUGAUAGGGCGACCGUCCAGGGCCCAUCUUUUAAAGGUAUCCAAAUUUUUUAUGAAAAUUGUUAUAUUUAGAAGAUAGUACAAAUAAUUUUCUUUUAAUUAUUGAUUUAUUAUAAAAAACUUGAUAACAUUUGUAUUUUUUAAGGGCCCAUUUUUUUCUCUCGCCCUAAGCCCACAAUGUGUUUGGAACGGCCCUAUAUAUAUAGUGUUAGGUUCAUGUGAGACAGCCUAAUUUUGUGAGACCGUGAGACGCAUUUUUUUAUUUUUUUUAGUUAAUUCAAAUUUCAAAAAUAAUAUUUAAAAAAACAAUUUUUGGAUUUUUGUAUUUAUGUUGCAUUUUAAAAUUAUUUUUUAAGAACAUGCACUUGCUGGCGUAAUGCCCUAUCCUUCCACAUUUGUAGCAAGUCACCUUCUCAUCAUAUCCCUCAUAGUGCUUUAGCAGUACAUUUGGCGUUGUUGCUCUCAUUGGACAAUCUUGCUUGAAGUGUCCCACUCCACUACANUGUCCCACUCACUACACUUGAGGCAAACUUCCUCCUUGGUUGAGCAUUUAUGGGCAUUAUGACCAAUCUUCCCGCAUUUAAAGCAGGUCACUUCCUUAGGGCAUUUCCUGUUACACCAUUUUGCUUUACCUCUUCCUCCUCUAGACUGUGAAGAUAAGUUUUUCCUGUUGGACCUUGAAGAUCCCUCAAAUUUCCUCUUCUUGCCAACUUCAACUUUGUUGGCGAUCCUAUCGUUGAUCUUCUCUCCGACAGACUUAGCAACCCAGAUGGUUGCCUCAAGAGCGGGUGCCUGGCGUACUGGCACAGUAAGUUCGUCCUUACUUUGUUGAAUUAAGCACCUUGUUUCUCUCAUCUGUUGAUCCAACAUCAUCCGCACCAUUGCCUGUACUCCUUCCAUCGUGAUUGGCUCGGGUGCAACUUCUACUUCUCGUGUACGCUCAAUCGCUUGAGGCUUAGGCUGCGGGUUACUAUCUCCGAAUCCGCUUUGAGUGUUCAUCAUGUCGAUCUAUACAUCGAAUUUAGAUGUCCAGUGUAGAGUGACGAGAAUUUAGAUAGAGAAGAUUUUAUUUAUGAUCGACGUGUAAUUCUCCUUAUCUCUUCGAAAAAUUAUAUGCCAGUUCUAAUACCGUGAUUAAACGUUUAGAAAUCUGAACACAUAAAGUUUCCAGAUCCGGUCGGCAACAGACCAUAGAUCCGUUCAUAUAAUGCAUAUCAUAAAACAUUUAGCACAUGAAAGCAUGUUAGGAAUUUUCCCUAAAUAAGCUAGUGCUCACACCUCACAAUCAUCGCUUAGCAUUCUAAGUUUAAGUCUAGAAAUAAAUCCAUAUUCCUAGUUCGCUUAAACUAAUGCUCUGAUACCAACUGUGACAUCCCCAAAAUCACGGCCAGAAAAGACCGAUUUCGUUUAUGCUUUAUAAAAUCAGAGUACUUCUUUUUAUAAAAAUAUUGCGGAAUUUGUUCCCAGAAAAAUACGAUAAAUGCGUUAUCAAAACAUUUUCGAAGAAACGUAUUUUAUUCAUUUUAAAACUUUUGGGAUGUCAUUGUCAAUACAGGAACAUAAGCAUAAACGGAACUUACAUUUAUUUACACUAGUGAUCUACAUCUCUUUAAUCUCUCAGUGUAAUGUGACUUCGUAUCAACACCUGUGAUAUAAAUAAACUGAGUGGGUCAGGUUGGGAAACCUGGUGAGUACAUAGGGUUUUCAACCCACAAUAAUAUAAUUAUUAUGUUUAAACAAUCAAACAAUUAACCCAAUUACCCAUCCCCAUUAUCUUCUUUACUCUUAAGGAUUUAACCUAAGAGUCAUCUAUCCUGCAUUCGUUUAUUCCGAAGUCCCUUACUUCCAGGGUUAUAGGACUGGCACUAAAUCCAUAGCUGCCAAUGUUCGUUCAUAAAGCACUAAUUCCAUAGCUGCUAUAGUCUAUUCAUCGGGUACUAAAUCCAUAGCUACCAGUCUUUAUCUAAUAGGUACUAAGUCCAUAGCUACCAAUGUUCAACAGGUACUAAGUCCAUAGCUACCAAUUCCUACAGGUACUAAAUCCUUAGCUACCAGCGUCUAACUAAUAGGUACUAAGUCCAUAGCUACCAAUUCCCAACAGGUACUAAAUCCAUAGCUACCAACGUCUAACAGGUACUAAGUCCAUAGCUACCGGUGUUUGUCCCAUAGGCACUAAGUCUAUAGCUGCCAAUGUAUACUCACAUCAUCUUCUAUCUCUCAUCAUUCAUCUACCCAUCUCAUACCCAACAUAUUCGUAUAUAUAAAAUACGUAUACAGUUUAAAUUCUUUAAAACAUGUAUAAAACGUUCAUCCAGCAUAGACAACAAGUAUUCAGAUAAUAUGCACACAUAGCACGUAGUUUAUAUAAAAUACUUCAUAUCUAUGUGUAAGAUGAAAGGGACUAUGCACUCACCUGAGUAGGUGGUGACUCAACACUCGAACAGCGCUUCGAUACUCUCAAAACAAUUUCCUUCGAUAAAACCUAGUAUCAAUACCACUAGGGUUUAGUCUAACGAUAACCGCGACAAACUAAUAGUCUGACUAUUAUUAUUAUUAUAUAAGCGUUAAAUAACACUCAAUAUAACUCAUAAUAAUAGCCCAAAUACUCAUUAUAAGUUCCUAAUAAUGUUACUAUAUUAAAACAUAAGCUAUACUAAAGAUGGGUUAGGCGUAGCUCACUUACAGCGGGUUUUCUCGAAAACCGGGCUUCGCUGGAGCAGCGUUCCCGAGCCGAAAGGCUCUUUUCUCGGGACUCCGGGAGCCUCGGGGCUUCCUUCGGGUGCUAGGGGGUUUACCUAGGCUUUUAGGGGGGUUAGGGAGCUUAGAGAGAGAGUAUAGAGAGAGAAAGAAGAAGGUUGAGGGGUGAGAAAAUGAGGGAACCCGGCACCUCUAUUUAUAGGGGAGAAAUCUGAUGGACUCGCCGAGUCUGAGUCAUGACUCGCCGAGUUGGUGCAUGUGGCAACCUUCUGGUGGUGCCACGUGUCCAAUUCUGGUGGUGCCACGUCACCCCCUAUCGCGUAUCAGCCUUCGAACUUAGAAAAAUCAUAACUCUCGCAUACGAGCUCCGUUUUCGACGUUCUUUAUAUCCACGCGUAGGUAAAAUCAAGAUCUACAACUUUUAUUUAGACUCCGUCGGCUAAUUCUCGACCGAUCUCAAAUUUAACAGUAGGAGGCGUUUAGACUGUUAAAUGACCGCGAAGAAUUCGUAACUCCUUCAUACGAACUUCGUUUUCGUCCAUAUUUUUACCGUUGAGUUCCUAUUAAUGAGAUCUUCAACUCUCUUUUAGGUCGCAUAAGCCAAAAACCGCUCGAACUAAAAUUCGAGUGUCGGGCCGUACACUGCUAAGCCGAAUCUUAGAAAAAUCAUAACUUCCUCAUACGAAGUCAGAUUUGGGCAUUCUUUUUAUCGAANUCUUAGUUUAACAUAUUCUACAACUUUCGUUUAGAUUGCUAAGGCUAAAUCUCGCUCUAGCGUAAAUUCACUAUUUACGCUUCCCGGUGCCGUGUCGGUUUUGCCGUAAAACUUCGACGGGUCAUAACUUCUUCGUUAUAACUCGGAUUUCGGCGUUUUUUAUAUGUAAAACCUUAUGACAUAUUCCACAACUUGGUUAAGAUUAUUUAUUCUAAAUAAUCUUUUGUCGAAAAGUCGUUUUCGACCCCUAUUGCCUCUAAAUUGCCUAGCCCGGAUCUACGGGCGUUACACGGUCAAUAUAAUAAAGUAAAUCCAUUAGAUGUAUGUGUGCUCAAUGUUGAGGGAUUUGCAACAUGUUUUGUGGUGAAGAUGAUCCAAAAUGUUCAUUAUGAUACACUAGAGAUGCAUAAACACCAGUUUUAAUCUGGUCACCGUUUUUUUAUAUAUAAAUAAAAGAAUUUGGUUAUUGGAAAACCGUUUUUUUUUUGGAAUUGAAUCUUUGUUCAAGAAUGAUUUUUUUUUCGGUUUGAAAACGGCCGGUUCAGUUUUCUAAAAACCGGUUCUCAAUGACUAAAUUUACAGUUUUCUCAAAAACACGAAUGUUUCAUUUAUGUUUCUUCAAAAAAAAAUUCCCUUCUUAAAAAUUCUUUUUAUGUACAGGCUUCGUCUCUUAAUGAAGAGCUAUAACAGAAAGUACAUCCAUCUCUAAAGCAAUGCCAGAGAUAAAAACACAAGAUCCCACCAGGUGCAAAAUGAAGCUAGGGGCAAAACCGUCCAACUGAGCCAAAAACCUAUCAACCAUUGUAAAAUGUGCAGAGAGAGACAUUGACUGAGCUACACUUUGACUGAAAAUAUUGUUAACUUUCUGUAUAACAACAUACCUCCAUGGGAUUUUUAUAUAUAUGUAAAUCAUAACUUUUAUAUGUAAAUCAUUGGUUAUGGUGAAUUACAAUCAUAUUUGUGUCAAGAUUUUGCAAUAAUAAUGUUUUCUUCUUGGUGAUUUUUGCAUAGAUGGAUGAAGAUGACUUUGGAAAUGGAAAAGAGUGAAAGGUUAUGGAUAUCAAAUAUACUAACUUGCAGCUUACUGAAAAGUGUCUUCGCUGCAUGUGCAUCUUAGUGAGGAAAUACUUGGUAUCAAUGGCUUUUCAUCUGUAUCAAUCUCCAAAGAAGCACCAACCUAUUGAAGUUAUUUUAAUCCAAACACAAGCUCCUUGAACCUACACAUACCUGCUGGAACACAUUCUUAGAAGUCAUGCUGAGGAUUUGUCAAUAAAUAUGUAAAAAUAUAUUCUAUACUGUUUUAAUUUUCCAGUAAGCAUUUUGUGACUAGAAAGUGAAUUAGUUUGUUGAAUUAUCAAUGUACUUUCGACAUGUAUUUUCUUUUGGAACAUAACAUUUUUGUAAAGGAAACAUAUCAUCGAAAGAACUUACGCGCCCCGCUGCUUUGCGCGGGUACACUGCUAGUAUAUAUAUAUAUAUAUAUAUAUAUAUAUAUAUAUACACACACACAACAUGUAUUUUAUAUAAAAUACUUCANGGUGGCAAACUUGUAAAUAUGAUAAUAACCUUCAAUGUCAAAUGCGUAACUAUAGAGAUUUCGAUAGCAGUUCGUUCAUCCUCAAAAUUUCUCCCCCAACCUUCAACAAUCAUCCAAAUUUCUUCAACUAAACCAUCAUUAAUGUCAUCCAGUGUUAAUCAAUCAUCAAUAUUCGUAGAUGGGAGGUUCGUCGUUCAAGACAAAUUCACAACCCAAAUUCAUCAAUUUCAUUUAUUUGUUAAAGUUUGGAACUGGAAUUUCCUAGAUUCGCAUACGAAAUCAGUUGGAAUCGGAAUUUCUUCGCUGUUCAUGAAAUUGGAAUCGGAGUUCUUGACUCACAAUCACGGUCGACAUUGAAGGACUCAGAAUCGAUACUCACAGGUUUCCAAUCUGAUUUUCAGAAAUCAAAAUCAAAAUAAGAAAUCGAUCAGACAUAGGUGUCGCAUCUGAAGUUGAAAUCGGAAGUAUAUGAUGAUUUGGAAUUGAUAACUUGAUGUUUUUAACAUUUUUAAAAUAGUUAACUUGUAUGCACUCCAACUGUUUGAUGAAAUGCAUAAACUAAAUUACCACGUUAUAUUCAUAUAUGAAUAUGUUUUCUCACUUGAAUCAGUAUAUGAUUAUUAAAAACACAAAACAAAUAUGCAAGUCUGUAUGUUAUUCAUAUGUGAAUAACAUAUAAAAAUUAUAUAUAUUUGUCAAAAUACCUUCAAUAUUCAUAAGUGAAUAUACCUUGUAAUAUUCAUAUGUGAAUAUACUGUGUAAUAUUCAUAAGUGAAUAUAUCAUCUAAUAUUCACAAGUGAAUAUACUAUGUAAUAUUCACAUGUGAUAUAUCAUGUAAUACUAUGUAAUAUUCAGAUAUGAAAAUAUUAUCUAAUAUUCAUAAGUGAAUAUAUCAUCUAAUAUUCACAAGUGAAUAUACUAUGUAAUAUUCACAAGUGAAUGAAUCGUCUAAUAUUUAAAUAUGAAUAUACUAUGUUUAGUAUAUGCUAUAUUCAUAUAUGAAUGAUACUUAAAAUGUAAAAAAAAANNNNNNNNNNNNNNNNNNNNNNNNNNNNNNNNNNNNNNNNNNNNNNNNNNNNNNNNNNNNNNNNNNNNNNNNNNNNNNNNNNNNNNNNNNNNNNNNNNNNNNNNNNNNNNNNNNNNNAUGGGCUGUAAUAUCAUUUUUCCUUUUCCAAAUUAUGAACAAGAAAACAAGUUCGAAAUAUAUGACAAAUUUCAAAUAAAUUUCGUUUAUUUGAUCAAUAAUUAUGUUUUAUUUAACUAGUCAAUAAGUUAAUUUUGGGUCGCUCAAAGUCAAAGCUUUCAAAAAUGGUCACAACAAUUGGAGUGCUGCCCAUAUAACCCUGUGUGAACCUCAUUUCCUUCCGGAUUAUGUUGCUUCCUUUCCAGUGGAGAUGAUACCCUUUGUCGGUGUUCGUGUUCCUUUUCUUUGAUGUACAAAAUGGAUUUUGGGUUUAAUGAGCAGUAUAUGUUUUGUUUUGUUUUUGUUUUUUUUGUGUGUGUAAGGAUUUAUAAUUGUAAUUUAACCUUUCUUAGUUUAGGUAUAUAUUGUUUUCCUUUAAGAACACCGGUGCCUAUGGUUUGUUUUCCUUCAAGCUAACUCACUUCUCCAUUAUGACUUCUAGGGGUGAGCAAAAACCGCACCGUAACUAAAAUUAACCGCAUAAACUGCAACCGAUAAAUCGCAACCGCAAUAAAAUCCGAUGGUGAGGUUUUUUGUUUUUCAAAAACCGCAAAAAACCGCACCGCACCACAUAAUUAUAUUCAAUUUUUUUUAUUAAUUAUUAAUAUAUUAAAUAUAUAUAAAAUAAGAACAGUUUUAUAAAUGAAAGAUGAAUAAAAUACUAGAAGACAAAAGUGUUGGUUUUUUGUUAUAUUUAACUUUGAAAAAUGGUAAAAUUGGACAAUUUUAAGAAAUUUAUUGGUUAAUUACUAAUGAUUUGACGUUUUUAAGAUAUUAAUUGUUUGUGAUUUAAGUUAAUUGUCUUAUACAUUAUGUUUUUUUUUUGUUAUUACAAGUAAUAUGUUUGAACUCUUAAAACCUUUUGAGCUCUAAAUUGUGGUUAAAAAGCACCCAAAAUAACCACACCAAAUCCAUGCGGUUAAUAACCGCAACACAGAAAAAACAAAACCGCACCGCAAAAAUAACCGUCUAACCGCACCACAAAAAUAACCGCACCAAGCGGUUUUGAAAAUGGAUUAACAACAUUUGCGGUUAGUGGUGAGGUUUUAGCUAAUAACCGCACCGAACCGCACCGCGCUCACCCAUUGGCUUCCUCAUCUAAUCAAAGGUAAUUUACUCAACAAUUUUAUUUAUUUCACACAUGAUGAUUAUGAUUACACACACAUUUUUAUAUUAAAAUUUUACAAUUUUACAAAACAUCCAAUGGUUUAACAUUUGGCAAAAAACAAACUAUAUACAAAAAAGAUUAAACCAUUAAACUUAAACCUUCAACUUUCAAAAACCUUGUACCUUCAACACCCCUUUAAGCCUAUCAAGAACCUUCAAAACGUUAAACCCUCUUAAGAACUGUCAUCCCCUACUUCACUCUGUAACCAAAGGACCUCCAUUAGAUUGAUAAAGUCCAUACGGGUCUCCAAAUAUUUAUCUCUGGAUCCAAGGAGAUAAAGUUGUGCUUGACCUUCUUGUGCGGUGUGGCAAGAAAUUAAGUUGUUCAAGCAUCAACCCUUCUCCCCAUGCCUUGCCAAUAUAAUGCCACAUUGCUCCAAAACAAGUUUCUUUUUUUCAUGAUCCUUCCGUAAGUUGUGUUUAAUUUCACUGAUUGUUAGAUUUUAGGUCUUCUGAAUAUCAAUAUAGACUUAAUAAUUUUUAGGAUCGUGAUUGCAAUUAUUUUCUAAAAUAUAUGAUUUCGACCCUUAUGUAUGGGGUAUCACGAAAUCUGAUUUGGGAUAAUCCAAGAGAGAAUUUUUAAAUCAUGCCACUUCCAAAUUCAAAACACAUAAAUGCCUUGUUAUUUUGUGUUCUUGAUGAGAUAGACAGAAUCUGAUGAACAAAUUUCAAGUAUAGAAAAUAUAACCUUUUUUGUGGAACAUUCACAUUUCAUUUAUACAAAGAAGAAAGUGGUUAAACUCGAUUAACCAAAAAUUGGCCCAAAAGAUGAUUGUUUUGGACAUAAUCAACAACUACAUAAUCAUCAUGUAAUCAUUAUGUUUUGAGGGGAAAAUACAUGUCUAGACUCUAUCUUGAUACAAAAAUCCGUUUAGGUUUUGAGGCUUUUGGCCAUGUUCUGCCAGUUCGGUAUUCAUUUCACACUUUUGGCCAUAUUUGGUUCGAUAUUUUUCAGUUUGGCCUAGUUCGGGUACCAAGCUCGUCCUUGCUUAUUGUGAUAACAUAAGUGUCAUUAACCUAUCCAACAACAUAUUCCAAAAUCAACCGGCAAAACACGCUGAGAUAUAAUGUGUCCGAGACAAACUCCUCACUGAUUUAUUUUAAAUCCAAAAUUCAACCAUGAUGGCUUACAUAAUUUUAAAUCAACAACAUAUUCCAAAAUCAACCGGCAAAUGUACACUCACUCAAGAUUUAUUUUAAAUCCAAAAUUCAACCGAAAACCGGAUUGACCUAAAGCCGGUUGAAGAAACCAUGAUGGCUUACAUAAUUAUGUAUGGAUCCAAACGGAAUCAUGAAAAUGGUUUCUUACCGGAUUGGCGAAACGGAAGCAGGAAAAUGGCAUGCAUAAGUAGGACCACCUUCGUUGUAUACCUUUUCAUAUAAGGAUUUAAAAACUUGCCAUACCGUUUGCAACCCGUUAAACAGUUGCAGUAGCAGAAAAACAUUUUUUUUAAUUAAAAAAAUACAACGUUGUAAACCAUAAAAAUCCCGAACUGUCAAUAAAACAUUAAUUACGCCAUACGUUCUUCCAUUGUGAUGAACCCUGAAAUUUGGUUAAUGUUGACACCGAAAAAAAUUCAUUAGACUACAGAGAAAUUUAGAGGAUUUUUUUCAUCUAAAAAAUAUUUUUUUUGUUUAAAACAGCAAUCCUAUUCGAACUUUAAAAAGAAAAAAAUACAAACAAGAUCGUAUAAAACCCAUAAGCAGAGAAGAUCACAUUAAAGUACGUCAUUACAUCAAAACUACUAAGGCACAACACCCCAAAACAAAACAAGUUCAAAUCACCACCAUAUAAAGAGUAGUAAAGUCACUCGCGACAGAAAACAUACAAUCACACCAACUAACAAACACUCAAUACUCCUCACCUUCAUCACCUUCAUCGUCCCCUCCUUCAGCACCAACCUCCUCAUAAUCCUUCUCAAGCGCAGCCAAAUCCUCCCUCGCUUCACUAAACUCCCCUUCCUCCAUCCCCUCCCCCACAUACCAAUGCACAAAAGCCCUCUUCGCAUACAUCAAGUCAAACUUAUGGUCAAUCCUCGAAAACACCUCCGCAACUGAAGUCGAAUUACUAAUCAUACAAACCGCCCGUUGCACCUUUGCCAAAUCGCCACCUGGCACAACAGUCGGCGGCUCGUAAUUAAUCCCACACUUAAACCCAGUCGGACACCAAUCCACAAACUGGAUCGUCCUCUUCGUCUUAAUCGUCGCCACCGCAGCAUUCACAUCCUUCGGAACCACAUCCCCUCGGUACAUCAAACAACACGCCAUAUACUUCCCAUGCCUCGGAUCACACUUCGCCAUCAUAGAAGAAGGCUCAAACGCACUGUUGGUUAUCUCAGCAACUGACAACUGUUCAUGGUAAGCCUUUUCAGCUGAAAUCACAGGAGCGUAGGAGGAAAGCAUGAAGUGAAUCCUCGGAUAUGGAACUAGGUUAGUUUGGAAUUCUGUCACGUCCACGUUUAAAGCUCCAUCAAAACGUAACGACGCCGUUAGUGAAGAGAUGACUUGGGAGACUAAACGGUUGAGAUUUGUGUAGGUUGGCCGUUCGAUGUCUAGUGACCGGCGGCAGAUGUCGUAGAUGGCUUCGUUGUCAAGAAGAAUCGCGACGUCGGUGUGUUCUAGAAGGGAGUGGGUUGAUAAGACGCUGUUGUAGGGCUCGACUACUGAUGUUGAGACUUGGGGAGAUGGGUAGACUGUGAACCCGAGUUUUGACUUUUUUCCAUAGUCAACGGAGAGGCGUUCGAGUAGGAGAGAGCCUAGACCGGAGCCGGUGCCGCCGCCUACGGCGUUGAAGACUAGGAA